CUGAAAUGCAGUGAGAUGUGCUGGUUUUCUACAAUUAAACUAAAAAUCUCUUGUCUCUAUUUUUCCAUUUUCCUUUUUGCCAACUCUGUCCUGUCUCCAAGUGCAGACCGCUUUGUGGCGACUCGACGUAAGUUCACACAGGAAUGACACUUUCAUGAAUAAGACAGUGUGCCAUUAUUCAACACAUUAUGGACCCCUCAUCAUGUCCUAACUUAACAAUUUGUUUCCUUUGAUUAUGUAAUACUCACAGUUGGAAAUGAACAGCUUGAAUGUAAUAUGCAGUACACUUAUUUGCAUUUCAUUUCCAAUCCCUGGAAAGCAAUUUAUUACUAUUAGAUUGUGGAGUUGGAAUUUUUUAACGAUGAAAAUCCAAAUAAUUACUAAUUGAAUGUGAUUCCCUCCUUUGUACAUCUCUCAUAUUUAAAAAAACAAGCAAAUUUAAUGUUCUUUAAUAUGGAAUAGACAAUCAUUAUUUAUGCAGCCAUUGAUUUAUUUUAUUAUUUAUUUAAUCCUAUGUUUAGAUAUGUGUAUAUCCUUCUAAGGUACCUUGCAUGCUUCUGUUUACAGCUCAUGGAGGUGCUUGGCCUCAUUACUACUUUUUACAUUGUUGGAAUACUUAAAACACAGUAAAGGAAAUUACCUUCUCCAAAAUACAUAAUAUUUUAUCAGCAGAGUAAUCCAUUGUUACUUUUGCUUACCAGGACAUGGUUAUGAACAUUAUAAAGGGAACUUAAAGUACUUAAAGAGUCUAAAAUACACAGGGAUAAUAGAACUUUUUGUAAAAUACUUUGAGAUCCUAAAUUUAAAAAGGUGGCUCUGUGGUUGGAUUCAAGUUUGACUCACUGGAGGAUGUGGUGGAGAGAUGUACUGUGAGGAAGGUGGAGGCUAUUCUAGAGAACAUGGCUCACCCACUUCACAACACCUUGGUGGACCGAAAGGCCUAUGGUGGUGGACGGCUCCUCUGUCUUCGCUGCAGGGAAAAAAGAUUCAAAAGAUCUUUUGUACCCACAGCCAUGAGACUCUACAAUUUAAAUAGUAGAUGACUUAUACAGACGUGACAAAUGAGACUAUAGACAAUUGAAUUUCCCUUAGGGGAUAAAUAAAGUUCUUCGUAUCUUAAAUUAAUUUUUGAUCAACUAUAAUGAACACUUUGGAUUUUUAGUCCUUAUUUGUUUGAAGGGUUAUCGAACAAGACAAUGGUCACUUCCAGCUUUUGACUCAACUUGACUUUUGAAAGAUGUAUAAUUGAGGACAGCCACUUGAUGGGUUGAGUAAAAGUACAUUAUGAUGCCAUUAGCUUUGGGUGGAUGUUGGUUUAUUUUAUUUUAUUUCUUUAAUAAAAAGGGAUUAAUGUUUGUUUCCAUUUUGUCUUACAGGUAUCCUGUCCAGUCUCCCCACUCUCCCCUAUCAUUUUGAUCGCUCUGUCUUUCCUGUCUCCUCUACCACUCUGUCUGAUUGAAAAGCACUCUGUCUUGUGUCCCCCUUUCUUCUAUCCCUCUGGCUAAGUUUUGGACGCUCUGUCUUUCCUGUCUCCUCUACCACUCUGUCUGAUUGAAAAGCAACUCUGUCUUUCUAUCCCCCUUCUAUCCCACUCUGACUCAUUGCAGAACUUUUCAGAACUUUGCAGAACUUUUCAGAACAUUUCAGAACAUUUCAGAACUUUGCAGAACUUUUCAGAACUUUUCAGAACUUUGCAGAACUUUUCAGAACUUUGCAGAACUUUUCAGAACUUUGCAGAACAUUUGAGAACCUAUUUUGAGAACCUAUUUUGAGAACCUAUUUUGAGAAACCUUUUGAAACAAGCAACCUUUCUUUGAGUCAAAACUUUUGAAACGGAAGUACAUUUAAUACAACCGCUAUUUUGAAAAAUCCCUAAUUUUGCACAAGUCUGAUUGUUGUUCUAGGUCCUCCUCUCCUGUCUGUGAAUCCAGAGUUUCGCCAGAAGACGUGUCGUCAGCUACACCACAUCUGCAUACCUGACUUUGAAAGAACAUAAAAACACGUUUUAUAUAGAAUAUUUGAGUUGCAUAGUAUUUCAAACACAAAGUUCUAAGAUUAAAAAAUUGUUGAUUUGUGUUUUUUCUUCAAACAUUUACAUAGUCUUGCCUAGGAUUUCCUUAGAAAACAUUUGAUAAACUAUUGUUGGUAUACACACAGUUAUAAAUUAGAUUUUUUGGAGACUAUAAGAGCUGUAAAUAACGUCCUCUUGAAGAAAUAAAGCAUUUUUGUCUAUACUGGUGCUUAUCAGUAACUUUUAAUUGUUGCAUAAACACAUUUUUGUGAAAGAACAGUUACAAUGCCAAGGAAGAGUAAGAGGUCACAGGUUGCAAGCCAGCGCUGGCAGAGGUUUCAUGACAUUGACUUUGUGAGUACUGGACAAGCAGAUGGUAUUCCUCAGAGCAGUGGAGAGGUAAAGAGGUCUGAAGUGUCUGAUGCUGUGAAACAGGGAGGUGAAAAUGCAUCAUGUCAACCACAGGUAUCUUAUGCAGACGUGCUUAAGAGGAGACGUGUAAGUGAGUCACCUGCAGCAGGUCCUUCUAACUCUCAUCAGGUGAACUACAUAGCCCAAACUGAAAAGCCAUGCUCAACCCAGGUAUCACGUGCAGACACUGUUAAGAAGGGAAACCACAGUAAUUAUCAGUCUGUAUCAGGCUCUUCUCAGGUAAGAAAUGAGAACGCUGUUAAUCAGUCAGGUGAACAAAACGUCUGUGCGUCACGCAGCCAAGCAUCUCUGAAAUACGGCCAAUCCAGGAACCAGCAGUGCACUUGUAAUUCACUGACAUUUCUAGCAUUCCUGUAUGAGAGAGAACACAUCACCAGAGCAGAUCUGGACCGUGUUUUGGAUAAAGGUGAUGUGAUGUACAGAGAAGUCAGGAAAACUGUUCGUGAUCACAUCCAUCUGACAACCGAUGAGCUCCCUAAAGAGGUUCCUGCACGCAGACACACGCAGAUUUUUGACAAGUCACAGCUGUCUAGAUACGGUACGUUUGGAGAUCCGGAUCCCGGUGCUGUUGAUACCUUUCUGGACCUCGUUUCAGGACUGAGCUGCUUAUUAUCAGAUGUGCAGUAUGCUUUGCUGCUAAUGACUUCACUGUGCAUUGCAGUUUUCAGAACCAGAGAUGGCAGGUACGGUUUCUUUGACCCACAUGCUAGGACAGCUAACGGUUUGCCUCUGCUUAAAGCCACACCUACUCCUGGUACCGCUGUCAUGGUAACAUUCACACGCCUUAGUGACAUGAUUGCCAGGCUCAUCAGGUAUCACCACAUAUUGGGCACAGCAGCGUCCUGUACCUAUGAGCUCAAGCCAGUUGUGUUCGGUGAUGUGAACCCAAGUGAUGCUAUCCCAGCCACAGAAAGUCCGUCCACAAGUCCCUCUGUAACAACCACUGUGAUAAAUGAUGACACAAGUGCUCCACAGAUGAACACUGAUGUCCAUGAAAACACUGAAUGCGACAUGGAAACUGAACCAGAACCACUGAUCGACUUCAGCCAGUGUUCUGUCACAUUAACUGGUCCUGAAUCUCUCGUUCUGGAGAUGAACACUACUGUAAGUGAUGACACAUCACAGAAAGUCUCAACUUUGAUGGAAACACAAGCUCAUCAACCAGGUCAAAUCAGCAUGAAUUCUGUCAAAGAGGAAACUCAGGAGACACAAUCAAAUUUGACACAACCAUUUAUAACUAUCCCUGUCACCAGUGAUAAUGUCCUCCAUGACAUUUCUAGUAAACUGUCAAAAUUGAACAAACAGCAAAAAAAGAAAUUUAAGAGGAGACUAAUGAGAUCUGGAAAGACAUCUCAAAAGAAAGAGAAUCAAAAAAGGAGAGAGAGAGAAAAGUAUGCUAAGAAUGAAACAUAUAAAGCAAAGAAAAAGUCUUAUUCAAGUAACAAAUAUUCUGUAAAUCCUGAGAUACAGACAAAGAAAAGACAAAAGAUCACAUCUAAAUAUAGAGAAAGCACAGACUACAGACUGAAACAAAAAGAAUAUAUCACACGAAAAUACAGGGAAAAUGUUGAUUUUAAAGGCAGACAAAAGUUAUAUUUCAGGAAAAAAUAUGGAGAAAAUAUUGAUUUUAGAGGCAGACGAAAAGAAUAUUUCACGAAAAAAUACAGAGAAAAUGUUGAUUUUAAAGGCAGACAAAAAGAAUAUAUCAGGAAAAAAUACUCAGAGGAUGUUAAUUUCAGGCAAAGACAGCGAUUAUAUAUCAAUCAUCGAUAUGCAAAUGAUGAAAUAUUCCGUAACCGACACAGACAGCUGAUGAGACAAAUGAUGCGAGACAGGUACAAGACAAAUCUUGCAUACAGAACUAUGCAUAAAAUGAGGUGUGCAUUGAAAAUAUCAAAGAAAUACAAACGGAUAAGUAAACAAACAUGUGAGACUGACAGAGAGAGUGAAAACCCACUUAUUGAAAGUGCCAUAAAUGCUUUCAGAUCACACAUUAAAGCUGGUCCCACCCAUGUUUGCACAGUUUGUCACAAAGCCUCAUUUCCAAACCAGGUGCAAAAGUGCAAGAGGUCCAACUAUGUGAAAAAUCCAAUAAUGGUUUCAGCUUGUCUCAAAGGUCAGUACGUCCAUGAUUGUAACGAUGACUGCAGAAAUCACUGCACUGUCCCUGAUGAGAGAAAGACUGAGUGGAUUUGUCACACCUGCCAUGACCAUCUGAAAAAUGGAUCCAUGCCCAAACUUGCCAUAGCAAACAACUUGGAGCUUGCUGACAUACCACCUGAGCUGUGUGACCUCAACAUACUGGAGAGACAUCUGAUAGCAAAGUGCAUAACAUUUGCCAAAAUCAUUCCUCUUCCCAAAGGCAGACAGAGAGCUAUACAUGGUAAUGUUGUAUGUGUUCCCUCUGAAGUCCAGGAAACAAUUCAGGCUCUACCCAGAUUGAGAAAUGAGUCUCAGGUGAUGAGAGUAAAACUGAAGAGACGCUUGAGUUACAGAGGUCACCAUCUGUUUCAGACUGUUACCUGGUCCAAGCUAGUACAGGCCCUGCAUACACUGAAAGAGAUACACCCCCAAUAUGAAGACAUCACUAUUAGAGAUGAGGAGGAGUUAUGUGACCCCACACUUCCUGAUGAUGGUGAUGAGGAUGAGGAUGAGGAUGAGGAUAAUGAUAUUACAAUGAAUGAUGACGACUAUGAUGAUGAGGAUUUGAUGGAAAUUGAUAGAAUUGAGGCUGCUGCCAUGUAUGAGGCUGAAACUAAUGUUGAAAAUGAGGAUGAAAACACAGAGCUGUGUGAUAAAAGUCAGACCCAGGACAAUGAUGAUCAGACACAACAACAGGACGCAGACAUGCAUAAUGGUGGUGUUGUCUUGGAGUCGUGCCUUCAGCCACGUGAUGUUUCUGAGGAGAUAUUGUGUUUCAGUGACUCUACAUACUCAGUAGCUCCAGCAGAGAGAAACAGUCCAGUCAGUUUUUUCAAAACACCCAAACUAGAGGCCAUGGCGUUUCCUGUUCAGUUUCCCACUGGUGAGAAUACACUGGAUGAAAACAGACCCAUGAAAUUAUCACCCAGUAGUUAUUUUAAAGCAAGGCUCUUUGGUGUUGAUGAUCGCUUUGCCAAAGAUACCAACUACCUGUUCUUUGCACAGUUUGUGACUGAAAUACACUUGGCUACCUCCAGCAUGUCAAUACAGUUACGCAAAGGCAAACCUUUGACCAGAGACGGACGUAAAAUAACAUCCAGAAUGUUGAGAGACAAAUACGAAGUGGAGAGACUGGUGAGAAACAGAGAUGCUAUCAGAUUUAUGCAGCCGCUCAGAGGAACACCAGCCUACUGGGACAAAACUACAAAAGAUCUGUUUGCUAUGAUCAGACAGUUGGGCAGUCCUACUUUCUUUGUCACAUUUUCUGCAGCAGAAAUGCGUUGGCCUGAGGUGAUUAUUGCAAUAAAAUCACAACAAGGUGAGGAAGUGAAUUUUGAAGAGCUCGACUGGUCCACAAAGUGUGACAUUCUGAGAAGCAAUCCUGUGACAACGAUGCGCAUGUUUGAUAAGCGUGUUGAAGCACUGUACAGAGAUCUGAUCAUGUCUCCUGCACAACCCCUGGGCAAAGUUUUUGACUUCUUUUGGCGCCUCGAGUUUCAACACAGAGGAAGUCCUCACAUUCAUGGUCUUUUGUGGGUAGAAGGUGCACCUGUGUUUGAGAGAGACUCUGACAAAACUGUGUGUGACUUUGUGUCCAAACACAUCUCUGCUCAGCUCCCUGACCCAAAUAAACAGCCUGAACUGUACAAAAAGGUCAAAGAAGUGCAAAUACACAGUAAGAACCACUCAAAGACAUGUUUCAAAAGUGCAAGUUCUGGAUGCCGAUUUGGAUUCCCAAAACCACCCUCCAGACAGACAAUGAUAACAAGACCUGUGGGUGAUGAUGAGGAGUCAGAGAGACUUAAGAGAGCCAAAGAGAAACUUGCACCACUGAAUCAGCUGCUGAAUGAGACACAAACUGAAUCCAUGAGUUUUCAACAGCUCCUGUCUGUCUGUGACUUAACCGCUGAUGAGUACGAGAAACACAUGAAUGUGAUGAGUCAGUCCAGCAACAUCAUUCUGAAGCGUGAGCCGAAAGACUGCUGGGUAAACACCUACAACCCUCACCUGCUCAAAGCUUGGGAUGCAAACAUUGAUGUGCAGUUCAUUCUCAGCUACUACAGUCUGAUCCAUUACAUAUGUACGUACAUGUGUAAAAGUGAGAACUCUGUGAGCCAGUACCUGCAAACACUCAUUCAGAACUCCGACAGAGAAUGUGUCAAUGAAUGUGAUGAAAUGAAAGCGGUCAUGCAGGCGUAUUCCAAAAAGCGAGAAGUAUCAGCACAAGAAGCUGUUGCCCGGGUGACUUCACUGAACAUGAAAAAGAGUUCACGCAGUGUGGUUUUUGUCCCAACUGAUGACAACCCAGUGAAAAUGAGUCUGCCUGUGUCAAGCCUUGACAACACAACACCAGACAGCUUGAAUGUGUGGAUGACAUCCUUAACAGACAAGUACAAAUCCAGACCUGAAUCACCAGAGUUUGAAGAGAUGUGCAUGGCUGAUUUUGCUUCUACCUGCAGACUGGUGUAUGGACAACAGACCAAGGGCAAGAAAGUGGUACCUUUGCUGAAUGAACUAGGCUUUAUACAGAGACGAGAAAGUGACAACGCUGCUGUCAUCAGGUAUCGCCGCAUAUCCAAAGAGAAAUACCCUGAGCAGUUUUACGGCACAUUGCUUAGACUGUAUCUUCCAUACAGAUCAGACGAUGAGCUGAAAAGACCAUAUUUUCCCACGUAUGAGUCAUUCUAUGAGAGAGGUGUGGUUCAGCUGCCGUAUUCUGACCGACCCCUGAGUGUGAAACUCAUCGUGAAAAGAAACCGAGAGAGAUAUGAAAAAAACAGUGAGGAAAUUGACUCUGCUCUCGAGGACUUUGAACAGAACAGAGGUGUGGUCGAUGAAUGGUGUAAUUUGGCACCUGAAUCUGAACUGGUGAGGUUGGAGUGUAUCGAUGAACUGGAUGCCAGACAGUGUGAAAAUGUCCAAGAGGAUGUACCGGAUUACAGCAGACAAGCAAAUGCUGCUACAGAGGCCAGAGUCAUGAGAGAGCCCCCUACAAUCGAUCCCACACGGUUACGACAAAUGUAUCAGAGUCUGAACCAGAAACAGGCAUGUGUGUUCUAUGCAGUGAGAGACUGGUGCAUAAAACGAGUCUGUGGACAACAACCAGAGCAGUUUUUCUACUACAUCAAUGGUGGUGCUGGCACUGGAAAGUCACAUCUCAUUAAAUGCAUUCAUUCAGAAGCAUCAAAGAUUCUGAGAACACUACCUACACGUGCUGAGGAAGCUGACAUCUCAAACCCGACUGUGCUGUUGACUGCUUUCACCGGAACUGCAGCCUUUAACAUCUCUGGAACAACACUGCACUCUCUUCUCAAGCUGCCCAGAAGUUUGAAACCUCCUUUUCAAGGUCUUGGGAACCAACUUGAUGAAAUCAGGUGUGAGCUUUUAAACGCUGAAAUCAUCAUCAUUGAUGAAAUCUCCAUGGUGUCGAAGCCUCUGUUUGCCUAUGUGGAUGUGAGACUGAAACAGAUUAAAGGCAGCCACAAACCCUUUGGAGGAAUGUCAGUCAUUGCUGUGGGAGACUUUUACCAGCUACCGCCUGUGCGACAGUCCAAACCACUCUGUGUCUAUGAUCCAAGUGAGCUUGACCUCUGGAGAGACAACUUCCAGGUGAUCACUUUAGAUGAGAUCAUGCGACAGAAGGAUGACAAAACUUUUGCCGAGAUGCUGAACAGACUCCGUGUGAAAACAAGGUCAGAUGAGCUUUCUGAAGCUGACAGAGCUCUGCUGUCACAGCGUGUCACUGAACCACAACUGUGUCCCUCUGAUGUGCUGCACAUUUUUGCUACAAACAAACAAGUCGCAGAACACAACUCUGCUACACUAUCUCUGCUCCAUUCUGAUAUCACCACCAUUGAUGCAGAUGACUUUAAAAAAGACCCACACACUGGACACAUGAAAAGACAAGGUGCACCAUGUCAUGGAAGCAGAAAUGAUCUACCUGACACACUAGAUGUUGCAGUAGGUGCUAGAGUCAUGCUUACCAGAAACAUUGAUGUGUCUCAAGGAUUGGUGAACGGAUCAUUUGCUACAGUAGGCCGUCUCAUAAGCUCUGAAAACAACGGUUCUGCUCUUGUCACUAUGCUUGGUCUCAGGAUGGAUGAUGAAACAGCUGGCAGGAGCUAUCGUACUCUAGGAGACAAUCUUGUGUACAUCGAGAGAUCUGAGGAGGCUCUGCAACAGAAAGGAGUGGUACGCAGACAGUUUCCUGUGAAACUUGCCUUUGCAUGCACAAUACACAAGGUUCAAGGUAUGACCAGAAAAUCAACUGUUGUCUCUCUGAAGCACAUUUUUGAGCCCGGCAUGGCCUACGUAGCUAUCAGUCGAGUGACCUCUCUCAGCGGACUGUACAUGCUUGAUUUGGAUGAGAGUAAAAUCCAUGCUAACCCUGCAGUCACUGUAUCUUUGGAGACCAUGACACAAGCUAACUUUGAUCACCUCAUGCCUUUUCUCCAGAUCCAGCAUUCUCUCAGCAGACAGGACACUGUGAGCAUCAUUCAUCACAACACCGAAGGAUUACCUGCUCAUGUGAAUGACAUCAAAAGCCAUCAUGAACUGUGUCUUGCAGAUGUUUUGUGUCUGACAGAAACUCACCUACAGGGCUCCUUUGUGGCAGACAGUCUCCAGUUUGAGGGCUACACCAUGUUCAAACGCAACAGACAUUUGUCCUACACUAACUUUCCACAGAUGGCCAGUAAAGGAGGUGGUGGAGUCGCUGUUUAUGUGAAAAACCAUUUGCAGGUUGUGGAGAAACAGUACCUGAAUAAUGUGACUGACCUCGAGUUUGUGGCUUUGAAGGUUGAAUCUCCUGUAAGUGCUCUGAUUGCAGCUGUGUACAGACCUCCAGACUACAGUGUGUCAUCAUUCCUGUCCAAUCUGGGAAGCCUUCUGGACUCACUUGAGAUCAUGGACUGUCAUCCUAUCAUUGUCUGUGGCGAUUUCAAUGAGAAUCUCUUUUCUAAUGCAAGUAAGCCAAUUUUGGAUUUCUUUCAGUCCAAGGGAUAUGGUCAACUGAUCACUGCUGCUACAACGGACAAGAACACACUGCUGGACCUGAUUUUCUGUUCACGACCUCAGCUAUGUCUCUCCUCAGGUAUUGUGCAGACAUACUACAGUUACCACAACGCCACUUACUGUGUCAUUUCAUCCAACAGGUCAUAGAGGAAACUACUAUUAAGGAAAAGACAAACUACAGAAGCUGUGGCUAAUGUUAUGCUCAUAUUUUCAGUACAGAUUGAAAUGUGUUUGGUCAUUGUAAAUUUUACUAGUGCAAAAAAUAUUUUUAUGGCUCAGAAUUUUUUGAAAGAAAAUAUUUUUCAGGUUGUAAAAUUUUCCAACUAUUCAAAUGUUAUAAAUUACAAUUUUUGGCCUGUGCAUUUAUCAAGUCCAGUCAAGUCAAGUUAAUCCAUUUAACUUGACUUGACUGGACAUAGGGAGGGUGGGUGCGGAUUGAUAAAUGCACAGGCCAAAACUCUCAGCUGCUGUGUACAAUACUGUAUACAGCAGCUAAAAUUAAAAACCUCCAUCAGAAAGUGUGUGUUCCCUAAUGAACACACACUUUCUGAUGUUCUGUUACCUACCAGCUGAAACCCCCUUUUCUCCACCCAACUUUACACCACUCUCUUAGCAUGGGUGGCUGUAAGUACACUAGAGCAAUUCUAAGUUUCCUUUUCUUUGGGUAGGUUUUUAUUUUAAAUUUUUUAUUAUUACUAUUAUUUUUUUUUUUCAGUUGUCCCCGUCAUCUUUAACCUGACCCCCAUUAGUACUAUCCUGACUAGCUCACUGUAAACUGAAAAAAAUUAUCAAACUGUCAACCAAAAGUAAACACAUCACCUGUGGAUGCAGUAGAGUAAAGCUAAGUUUCCUUUUGUUUGGGUAUUUUUUUUUUCUUCUUCAGUUGUCUCUGCCAUCUUUGUCCUGACCAUUAGUGCUGUCCUGAUUAGCUCACUUAUGAGCAGAAAAAAAUUAUCAAACCGUCAACCAGAAGUAAACACAUCACUUUGGACCACUCAAAGACACAGUCUACCUGCUGUUUAACCCAGUCUUUGGUCAGAGGUGAAGAAGAGAUGACAUCCUCCACACCAUCCUCCUGCUGCUCUCAACAACCAUCAUCGCUGUGCUGGACAGACUGCAGCACCCACCGGGACCCUUCUCUCAUGGACUACACAAACAUGUGUUUUACCUGCUUGUGCCCCAGAUGUCCUGAAGCAGCUCUCAAGGACCACCAGACAUCAGGCUGAAGCAGAACUGAUGCUGUAGUACCUGUCACUCACUGGGCUCGUUCCUGCUGAACCUCCAAGAAAUAAACCCCUCUUCAAGAAAGUCUGAGGUAAUGUCUUGGUGAACUUGUGUUCAUUUAUUUUUUCUUAGUUAUCUUAGCUGCUGUAUUAAUGCUUGUGAUGCUAUUGUACAGCUCUGCUGAUACCAUCGUCUUUAACAGCAGUGUUUUCUCCCAGGUCUUCUUCUUAAAGCCAGUUAAGAGAGGAAGAACAGCUUAGACACUCAGACAGCUGAACACACCAAAGGUGGACAUCAUGCAGCCACCCUGAGCCUUGACCCUCUCUGUGUGAGGAAGCUUUGCUGCUGCAGACCUGGUGAAGUUGCUCUGCUGCAGUGCUGAAGGUAUUCAUUGUAAUGAUGUGUGUAUUUAUUCAACAUGUUUAGUUUCACAGAUUAUCAACACAAAUGUUUCUGUUUAUUUCCUGUUUUGAACCAGCUACAUUCUCCUACUUCAAGUCACUGUCUGUUCAUCCACGGUGUAGCAAGUGCAGCUAACUAAUGGUGAUCCUACAAUCAAUUGUAUUGAUUACAGAGUUAAAGUGAAGGGGAUUUUGUUUGUUUUUUUCAGACCUCUCCUCCUCCUGCCCCUGACUCCAGUGAUGCUGUCAACUCGAACACUGAUAACUGCACACAGUGAUUCUACAACCACAGGUCAAAGGUCAAAACAUUACCUCACUCAAAACCUUUACUCUGAACUGUACCGGGCUCGGCUUUUGGUUUUGAAAAAAUGUGCCCAGACAGAACACAGUACUCACUUGAGGAACUGACUGAUUGUCUUCAGGACAGGACAACUAUUACUCUUAUAUUGUUUUGAAUCCUGUUUUCUACAUUAAGUGAUCGGUUGUCGAUAUCUGUUAAUAUUUUAAGUUUCCUUUAUGUUUCUUGGACUUUAUUUGUUCUAUCUUAUUUUAGUAUUUUCUUUCCCUUUUACUGUGUAUCUGUCCUUAUAUCAAAAGAUGACCAACACUGAUGAACGGAAAAGUUGUUGCAGGCAGCUGAAUUUCUCGUUUUAAUAUGCUCACCAUAGCCCUCAAAUUUACCUACAAGAGAAGAUGUGUUUUUAGAAAUAAAUGAUGUACUUUGGGUUUCAGCUGGUAGGUACACUGCAGGUUUUUCACGUGUGCUUAGUCUUGGGCUAAUGUUUUGGACAGCAGUGAUCCCAGCAUUACAGUGUGAAACAAUCCCUGCUGAAGGUUGUCGUCACAAUCAUCAAACACAGGGCUUGGUUAAACGAACUGUGUGAAGGGAUUACAUAGAGGAACAAAGUUCCCAACCCAGCAUUUCAGCAAGACAGAGUAGUGUGAAUGUUUGGAUAAGAAAACACUGGGAUCUAAAAUGCUGACCAGAUUGUCAGUCCACUACAAUGAGCUGAUGACAGUAUUAGCCUUGGUCUAACUACUGUGAAAAGCCUUUUGGGUGGUAAGGUGGACCAAUACAUGCUAUAAAAAAUACUUCAGUGCCAUAUUUAAGUUUUUAACCUUUCACCUUACUUUGCCUGUAUAUUUCGGCAAGCCUGGAGGACUGGAUCUUUUGCAUUUGCAUUCUUUUCCUUACCAUCCACAUUAUUUUAAAUUUUUAAUUUAGAUUUAAUUAAAAAUAUAUAUAUAUUAAUUUCUGUAAAAUACUUCUGUACCACACUGUACAGUAAACUGCUGAGUUAUUUUUGCAAACAAAUGAGCAGAUGACAAUGAGCUGAUGACAGUAAUAGCCUUGGUCUACUGUGAAAAGCCUUUUGGUGCUAAGGUGGACCAAUACAUUACAUCAAUUUAUUUCAAGUUCCCAAAUCUACUUUUUAAUCUGAUCAUUUUAGAUUUUGUUUAAAGUUUCAGUUUCAUAUCAUUUAAUUUUAUUUAUUAUUAUAAUUAUUUAUUAUUCUAUAAUUUUCUUUUUUUCUACAACAGACAGCCCACAUUUCACUGCAGUUAGCUUUAAAAAAUACUAUAAUGCCAUAUUUAAUUCAUAAGCCUUACACCUUACUUUGCCUGUAUAUUUCAACAAGCUUGGAUAACUUUGCAUUAUUUGUAUUUGCAUUCUUUACCUUACCCUUCACAUUAUUUUAAAUUUUAAUUCAAAUUAAUUUUUAUUUUUUAAUUUUAACUUCUGUAAAAUACUUCUGUACUACACUGUACAGUAAACUGCCGACUUAUUUUUGCAUACUAUUCCUCAUGUUCCAUUUUAUACUUUUUGUGAUUCACAUUUAUGUUGUUAUACUGCUGACCGAUUGUAGUAACUAUUUUUUUUAUAACUCUCAAGUCACCAUUUUCAUAUUUUUUUUAAUUGAAUAGGUAUAAAGGUUUUUCAGAUGUGCAAACUUAGUCUUAGGCUAAUCUAAACCCUUAAAAACACACAUAACAGUCCUGUAUCAGACUUUGAAAUCAAAUUUCAAGGUCUGUUUUUAAAGCCCACAACACAGGACUUGGCUCAAUGGGCCAUGACAAAUUUUAUGAGCCAACUUUUGUUAAGGCUUAGUAAUCCGAAAACACAAGAAAAGAGGUGAAUGUGGGUACAGGGCUGCUGGAGUUUGAAUCCAGUAAAUAAUGGGGUGUUAGCCUCAGUCUAACAACUGUGUGAAGAGCCUGUAAUGAUUGGGCUAAACAAUUUUAGAAACAACUGAAAAUGUGAUACCUUUGUCCAUCAACAAUCACAGCAACGACAAUCUUAAAACCUUAAGCUUAAGAGACAGAUUGGUCACCCAUGUAAAGAUUUCUGCUUCCAAUACCUGUUCACAAACAAAUUGUUUAUAAUUUGAUUUAAGGCACUAUGGAACACUGUUUCUUUAUGUGUUUAUGUUUUUGUUUUUUUAUUUUAUUUAUUUUUUUUAAUGUUUUAUGAUUAAUCAUUUCAUUGCUCAAAAAAUGUUAAAGGAUUGACAAUAUUAUUUUUCUUAAACAUAUAUAUUUAAAUUAAACAUAUUUGUGUAAUGUGUUCAUUUCUCAUCUACAUUCAUUUCUACUUCUUCCAACAUGAAGGCCUUUUCAGCCAUCUUUAAAAUUCUUUACCAUAUUUCCUGUAAUGUUCAAGAUCAGUUCUUUAGCAAUUUGAAUAUUCAUACAGCUACUGGUUUACCUCUCCCAGUGUUUUUACAUCCAUACAACUCAUCUCUUUUUCAUCAUCUUCUUCUUCAGUUCUGUUACGGUUGAAACAUUCAUACAACUUCUAUUUAUAACACUUCACCCCUUUAACAGUUUUUUCAUUUAUACCUUCUCCAUUUAUUACUGGCAGUUUAGCAUUGCUUUUUCAGCUUUCAGCACUCAGCAUUUCCACGCAUUUUCUGCAAGGAAAUGCAAUUUUUCUAGUUAAGUGGAAAUGCUGAUUAAGCAUUUCCACUUAUUGUUAUUCCUGUCGGCCAUUUUUCUUUAUUAUUAUUAUUAUUAUUAUUGAGUGGGAUUGCAAAGCAUUCCCACUAUAUGUUAUUCAUAUCUUUAUUAUUAUUAUAUCAACUUCCACCGUUUUUUGGCCCUCAACUACUUCCACAUACUUCAACAUAUUCAAACCAUUCAAACAUCAAAAGAUUCAUCUCAUUGAGGACAUUCAGGGGUGUAUUCAAAAUUUUCCUAACAUUCAUACUUUCCAAGAUAUUCCAGGUUUUCCGACCGAUUUCUCCCAUUAGAAAUGCAUUACGGAAUGUUCAAAUUGGCCCUUUUCUUCACACAACUUCAAAAGCCUUCAACUCCUCUAUACUUCCACGUAGAAACUUCAUUCAAAAACCAAAAUAUUCACAAAUUCGUCAGCAUUAUUCCACAUCUUCAACAUUUUUAAUCUUAUUUGUACUUUUCAAAAUAUAAAGAUUAGUUUAAAACUUCGUUAUAAUGGCAGUCAAUGGGAAAAGGGCUUCAGACGUAGUCAACUUCAACCUCUUCUCAUUCAUUCAUACUUUCACCUAGAAACUUCAUUCAAACUUUAAAAUAUUCACACAUCUUCAGACAUUCACUCAUUCAUUCACCAUCUUCAUGGCAUUCAUACUUUUCUCACAGUGACAGUUCAAAAAGUCCAAAGAUUUUCUAACCUGUUCAGGUUUUAACAUGAGUGUGUAUUGCACGGAAUGUUGGCCGCUAGAGUGGGUGACCUCACAGCUAGAGUGAGACAGGCUGAAAAUUGAUCCUCAAAACUUUGUCUUUACAAAAGGAUUGUGGCAACUCACUUCGCUCUACACAGAUAAAAUUUGGUACAGUGAUGGCAAAACUCGCUGUCACUCUUCAUCUAAAAAAUCAAAGCCAUAGGACACACACAAUGGCCUGGGCAGACACCAACUGCCGCAGACAUCCCCCAGAUUUCUCCAGCUUUCUCCAUUGACUCCAAUGUAAACCUGAGAGGAGGAUUUUCAGAGGAAACACAAACUGGACAUGUUUUUAACUUGUCGUAGCAAAGGCAUUUUUGGCUCCACAAACACAGAAGUUGUAUCAAUGUGUUCAGCCGGGCCUUGUGGUUGUCACAAGCUCCUUAUCAUGAAGACAGCAGUUACAGAGGAUGAGAAAUAUGACGUUGUUUGGGCAUUACGUUCUCGGCCUCAAGCCUCCUUUCUCCUGCUGUUGUUAAGCAUCUAUCGUCACCAUGGCAACCAAUAAGCGCACCUGGAGACACACAGCUGGCUGGAAAGCUGCUUCUAACAGCCAUAUGAGACACAUGAAGCCAGGCUCAGUACACAGAGUACUGGGGGUUACAUUUAAAACCCUUCAAUAGCGUUAUUUGACGAAAUUUGUCAUCUAUCUCUUCGCACAAACCUUGAGCUACAGAAACCAUUCAGAGCUUAAUAAAUUUAGCUCAUUGAGGACAUUUUGGGGUCUAAUCAGGAUUUUUAUUCAUUUACAUUGUCCCCAUUUUUCAAUCAUUCAUUGAAAAUGCAUUAUUUAAUUCUUCAAACUAAUUUAAACUCCUUCAAACUGAUUUAAACCGUUUUGAUUCUUCAAGACUUUUUUUCUUCCAGAUUUGUAACCUUUUAAUUUCCCAGUUUUAAAUCAUUUUUUAAUCUUAAUGCAUGAUUCAGUUCUUUCAAACAAAUUACAGCUCAUUUAAACUGAUUCAAACCUUAUUGAUUCUUCAAGCCUUUCCCAUACUUCAGGGUUUUUAAUCAUUUUAAUUUUCAAACGUUGAAUUUUUAAAAUUAUUAUUCAUGCAUUAUUCAAUUCAUUCAACAGAGUUUAUUCAAACUGAUUCAAAUCUUCCUGAUACUUCAUACCUUUUGACCUUUCACAUAUUUUAAAAUUCAGCCACUCGCAAUAGCAGCGUAGCGAUAGCAAUUUCAACUGAAGCAAUCCCACUCGCAAUUUCUUCAGAAAUUGCAUUUUCUAGUUAUUAUUAUUCUUCCGUCCCUUUUUUGGACCGCUUCUCCUCCUUCAAACUUUGUCCGAUUUCAACCAUUCAAACUUUAAACUAUUCCACUCCUUCAGGACAUUAUUGCGUGUAUUUUUUUUCUUUCUACCCUUUAUACUUUUUGUUUUUUUUAACUUUUUGUGCAAAAAUUUUAACAUUAAAGUCAAUGGGGAAAUCUUCAACUUCUUCCUUUCAUUCUUCCACCUUCUAGACCUUAUAACUUCAGCAUACUUUCACCUAGAGACCUCAUUUUUGCUUUAAAAUGUUCAUUCACUUGUCGACUAUUAUAGUUGUACUCAGUUUUUUGAUAUCUUUUACAGUUUUUCCACAAUUUAGCUUUAUGCAACUUGUGGUUUUCAGCAAAUUUCAAGCUUUAUAAUGGGUGUGUAUUGGAGAGUUUAGAGUGAUGAUGUCAUCAGCUAGAGUGCAGACCUCGUCUCUGAUCGACAGAACCUCGCUCGAAUAUAUCGCUCCCACGCCCACAAAUCUCACUCCACUGACACAAAUAAUACAUCAAAAUGGAGGUAUAUGUGUCCUGCUUCUCACAAAAGAGGUUUCAAAUCAUUAAAUCGUACCCCUUGGCCAGCAGGUGACCAACUGUCCAGAUAGGCGCAAAUAUCUCCCCAUUGGCCCUAAUGUAUUUCUUCUCCAAGAAAAUCCUUAUCGUCACUCAGGCUCAGACAUUUUUAACUCGCUGUUGUGGCCACAUUUUUCGGAGUACAGACAUGAAAAACACAUCAUUGUGUUCAUGAAGGACGGAGGAUUCGUACGAUGUUCUUAUUUUCAUUCUGGGACUUAAGGAAAUCACGCUAUGUGAAGAAGUUCACAGGCUUCUAAUCCUCUGUUGUUCAGCUGCUUGUCAUUCAAACAGUAGGUCAGUGAUUUGCCUUUGAUCUCACAGCUGUUAGGGAUGCAGUCAUUAAUGAGACACACACACACACACACACACAUUCUUGUACUUGUUGCUUUGUCAGGUCUACCUUGCAGUUCACCUGCUUGUACACACAGAUAAUAUGUGUCUGCUUCACCACCUAUCUCCACCCACAAACUUUGAGCUACAGAAACCAUUCUGGGCUUGAAAAAUUCAGCUCAUUGAAGAUAUUAUGGGGUGUUUUGAGGAUUGUGAUAAUAAAUUGUAUUAAUGUGUUCAGCAAAAUCUUGUGUUCUCACAAGCUCCUUAUGAAUUUAUACAGAGGAUGAGCGUCAGGGCCUACUUGGAGUCCUGUUUCCUUAGCUUCAAGCCUUCUUUCUCCUGCUAUAGUUAUGCAUCCAAGGUCCCCAUGGCAACCAAUUUGUGCACCUGGAGACACACAGCUGACUGGAAAGCUGCAUCUAAUGGCCAUAUGAGACACAUGAAGCCAGGCUCAGUAAACAUAGCACCUGGGAUGACACUUAAAACCCAUUCCUAGAGCGCUUGAAAAACCUUCAGCCCCUAUCUCCUCACAUGACCUUUGACCUACAGAAACCAUUCAGGGCUUUAAAAUUUGAGCUCAUUGAGGACAUUAUGGGGUGUAUUUAGGAUUUAUAUACAUUUAGAUUUUUCACAUUUUAAAGUCACUCAGUGAUGAUUUAUCAUUUAAUUUUUCAAACUAAUUUGAACUGAUUCAAACUGAUUCAAACCUUUCUAAUACUUAAAAAAUUAAACUUAUGCCACUUCCCACCUUCCUGCCUUUUAAGGCAAUUUCCUUCUUCAUUCAAACUUUGUGCAAUUUUAGACAUUUUUCUAGCCUCUUUCAGCAUGAAUAAAAUUUCUUUUUAUAGAGCAUAUUCAUACUAUUUGUCCUUCAACCAAUUAAUCAAUUAUCCAACUUACAUUUCUUUCACACCCCUUCAACAGCUUUAACAUUUAUACCUUUCUCCAUGUUUUAUUAGCAGUUUAGCAUUGCUUUUUCAGCUUUCAGCACUCAGCAUUUCCACGCAUUUUCUGCAAGGAAAUGCAAUUUUUCUAGUUAAGUGGAAAUGCUGAUUAAGCAUUUCCACUUAUUGUUAUUCCUGUCGGCCAUUUUUCUUUAUUAUUAUUAUUAUUAUUAAGUGGAAAUGCUGAUUAAGCAUUUCCACUUAUUGUUAUUCUCCUGUUUCUUUAUUAAACUUAUUAUUAUUCUUCCGCCGAUUUUUGGACCGCUUCUCCUCCUUCAAACUUUGUCCGAUUUCAACCGUUCAAACUUUAAACUAUUCCACUCAUUCAGGACAUUAUGGCGUCUAUUUUUUUCCUUUCUACCCUUUAUACUUUUUGUUUUUUUUAACUUUUUGUGCAAAAUUUGUACCAUUAAAAAUGAAUGGGGAAAUCUUAAAAUCUACCUUUUCCUCUUCCACCUUCUAGACCUUAUAACUUCAGCAUACUUUCACCUAGAGACCUCAUUUUUGCUUUAAAAUGUUCAUUCACUUGUCGACUAUUAAAGUUGUACUCAGUUUUUUGAUAUCUUUUACAGUUUUUCCACAAUUUAGCUUUAAGCAACUUGUGGUUUUCAGCAAAUUUCAAGCUUUAUAAUGGGUGUGUAUUGGAGAGUUUAGAGUGAUGAUGUCAUCAGCUAGAGUGCAGACCUCGUCUCUGAUCGACAGAACCUCGCUCGAAUAUAUCGCUCCCACGCCCACAAAUCUCACUCCACUGACACAAAUAAUACAUCAAAAUGGAGGUAUAUGUGUCCUGCUUCUCACAAAAGAGGUUUCAAAUCAUUAAAUCGUACCCCUUGGCCAGCAGGUGACCAACUGUCCAAAAAAGGCGGAAAUCUCUCCCAUUGACCAUAAUGUUAUUUUUCUCCAAGAAAAUCCGGAUCAUCGCUCAGGCUCAGACUUUUUUAACUCGCUGUUGUGGCCUCAUUUUUCGAAGUACAGACAUGAAAAACACAUCAUUGUGUUCAUGAAGGGCGGAGGAUUCGUACGAUGUUCUUAUUUUCAUUCUGGGACUUAAGGAAAUCACGCUAUGUGAAGAAGUUCACAGGCUGAAAUUCACUGCAGUUCAGCACCUCUCAGUCAAACAGUAGGUUAGUGAUUUGCCUUUGAUCUCACAGCUGUUUAGGAUGCAGUCAUUAACGAGACACACACACACACACACGCACACACAUUCUUGUACUUGUUGCUUUUUUAGGUCCACCUCGCAGUUCAGCUGCUUGUACACACAGAUAAUAUGUGUCUGCUUCACCACCUAUCUCCACCCACAAACUUUGAGCUACAGAAACCAUUCUGGGCUUCAAAAAUUCAGCUCAUUGAAGAUAUUAUGGGGUGUUUUGAGGAUUGUGAUAAUAAAUUGUAUUAAUGUGUUCAGCAGAGUCUUGUGUUCUCACAAGCUCCUUAUGAAUAUAUACAGAGGGUGAGCGUCAGGGCCUACUUGGAGUCCUGUUUCUUUAGCUUCAAGCCUUCUUUCUCCUGCUAUAGUUAUGCAUCCAAGGUCCCCAUGGCAACCAAUUUGUGCACCUGGAGACACACAGCUGACUGGAAAGCUGCUUCUAGUGGCCAUAUGAGACACAUGAAGCCAGGCUCAGUACACAUAGCAAUUGGGAUGACACUUAAAACCCUUUUCUAGAGCGUUGGAAAAAACUUCAGCCCCUAUAUCCUCACAUGACCUUUGACCUACAGAAACCAUUCAGGGCUUUGAAAUUUAAGCUCAUUGAGGACAUUAUUGGGUGUAUUUAGGAUUGUUAUUCAUUUAAAUUUUUCACAUUUUAAAAGUCAGUCAGUGAUGAUUUAUCAUUUAAUUUUUCAAACUAAUUUAAACUCAUUCAAACUGAUUCAAACCUUUCUAAUACUUCAAAACUUUCUGAUACUUGAGGACUUUUGAUAAUUUAAAAUUUCCCUGUUUUAAAUUAGUUUUAAUAUUUAUGCAUUACUCCAUCAUUCAAACAAAAUCCUACCUCAAGUACGACAACUACUGCUAAUGUCAAUUAAACUAGUACUUUCCCCUCUACUUCAACUGCUAUUGCUCCUAUUUCUACUUUCUUUACUACUUUGACUUAUACUUCUUUUAUUCUCAAUCUACUUCUACUGCUGACAUGACUACUAGUAUCACGACUUGACUUCUUAUCAUACUACUUCUAGUACUACAAUUUAAACUUGUGCCACUUCUCACCUUCCUGCCUUUUAAGGCAAUUUCCUUCUUCAUUCAAACUUUGUGCAAUUUUAGACAUUUUUCUAGCCUCUUUCAGCAUGAAUAAAAUUUCCUUUUAUAGAGCAUAUUCAUACUAUUUGUCCUUCAACCAAUUAAUCAAUUAUCCAACUUAUAUUUCUGUUCACCCCUUCAACAGCUUUAACAUUUAUACCUUUCUCCAUGUUUCAUUAGCAGUUUAGCAUUGCUUUUUCAGCUUUCAGCACUCAGCAUUUCCACGCAUUUUCUGCAAGGAAAUGCAAUUUUUCUAGUUAUUAUUAUUCUUCCGUCCCUUUUUUGGACCGCUUCUCCUCCUUCAAACUUUGUCCGAUUUCAACCAUUCAAACUUUAAACUAUUCCACUCCUUCAGGACAUUAUUGCGUGUAUUUUUCUUUUUUCUACCCUUUAUACUUUUUGAUUUUUUCAACAUUUUGUGCAAAAAUUUUAACAUUGAAGUCAAUGGGGAAAUCUUCAACUUCUUCCUUUCAUUCUUCCACCUUCUAGACCUUAUAACUUCAGCAUACUUUCACCUAGAGACCUCAUUUUUGCUUUAAAAUGUUCAUUCACUUGUCGACUAUUAUAGUUGUACUCAGUUUUUUGAUAUCUUUUACAGUUUUUCCACAAUUUAGCUUUAAGCAACUUGUGGUUUUCAGCAAAUUUCAAGCUUUAUAAUGGGUGUGUAUUGGAGAGUUUAGAGUGAUGAUGUCAUCAGCUAGAGUGCAGACCUCGUCUCUGAUCGACAGAACCUCGCUCGAAUAUAUCGCUCCCACGCCCACAAAUCUCACUCCACUGACACAAAUAAUACAUCAAAAUGGAGGUAUAUGUGUCCUGCUUCUCACAAAAGAGGUUUCAAAUCAUUAAAUCGUACCCCUUGGCCAGCAGGUGACCAACUGUCCAAAAAAGGCGGAAAUCUCUCCCAUUGACCAUAAUGUUAUUUUUCUCCAGGAAAAUCCGGAUCAUCGCUCAGGCUCAGACUUUUUUAACUCGCUGUUGUGGCCUCAUUUUUCGAAGUACAGACAUGAAAAACACAUCAUUGUGUUCAUGAAGGACGGAGGAUUCGUACGAUGUUCUUAUUUUCAUUCUGGGACUUAAGGAAAUCACGCUAUGUGAAGAAGUUCACAGGCUUCAAAUCCUCUCCAGUUCAGCUGCUUCUCAUUCAAACAGUAGGUCAGUGAUUUGCCUUUGAUCUCACAGCUGUUAGGGAUGCAGUCAUUAAUGAGACACACACACUCAGCCAAUGUGUGUGCUUCAGCCUCCCUCUCUCUAUGAGACCUUCAAGUACACACAGAAAAUAUGUGCAUGCAUGAGUCUCUCUCUGUCUAUGCGACCUGAACACACUUUGACCAUGUGUCUGCUUCACCACCUAUCUUCUCUCACAAACUUUGAGAUACAGACAUAUUUUGGGCUUCAAAAAUUCUGCUCAUUGAGGACAUUAUGGAGUCUACAGAGGAUUUCUAUUCAGUUAAAUUGUCCUUAAUUCAUUCUCAUUAUUUAUGCAUUAUUCAAUUCUUCUAAUAAAUUUAAACUCAUUCUUAUUCAAACCUUCAAACCUUUCUAAUACUUUAGGAUUUUUUAUUAGUUAUAUUUUCCCCAUUUUAAAUCAUUUUUACUAUUCAUGCAUAUUUCAAUUCUUCAAACAAAAUCCCACUUCCACUUCUACAACUACUACUUAGAUCACUUCUACUUCAACUAGUCUUGCUACUAUUAGUACUAGAAAACAAUUAAAGUGAAUUGAUUGAACCACUGCCUUUCCGUCGUGCGAAGUCUGACAUUUCCGAGUGUCCCUGAACGCCUCAAACAUUAAUACCGCGACCCACCGGUGGCUCGCGCUAUCCUUCUCCGACCUCGACGAAGGUGAGUCAGAGCACAGUCUCUCUAACUUCUGAACACUCCAAACGGUGAUUUAACGUUUCAAAUGGCACUGGUUUGAGUUAUAAUCAAUGAAGAGUUCAUUCAUGAUCGAAGUGGUCGAGAUAAUGAGUUGAAAAAGCAUACGCUAACGCUUUUAGCGUCGAGUUAGCGCCGCUAGCGUCGAGCUAGCGCCGCUAGCGUCGAGCUAACGCUAAAGCUAACAUGCCGUCAGCUGUGAGGCUGAAUCAUUAGCCAGCUGAGCACAAAGUAAAGUGAAUAUGUAAGCCGCUGCGGUACUAUAAAGCAUGCCAAAUGAUGUACAGGCUGUGGAGUUUACUGACAGUGGGACUGACAAGAAUACUCAUAUUGUCAAGUAUUGACUGACUAACUAGCUAACUAAUGACGCUAGCGCCAUUGCUACAGGUUCAAUUCAUUACUAUGACUGAGUCAUUGCUGGGGAAUUGGUCUGGAGACGUCAGCUGUUUAGCUCCUGGUCACUUGUUAUCAGCCAUUGUAGAUGUAUUAAAAUAUAGGCUGCAUUUAGCAAGCAUCCAGGUAUAGCACAAAUAUGAGUGGUUUUUCUUUUUUUAUGUGUCAGAAUGGACCUAGAUGGUCCUAUUAUUGAAGGUUUUAUUCAUGAUGGGGAUGAUAGAGAUAUUUACAUUGCAAAACAUAAAAUGAAUUCCGUAUUUAAUGUUUAACAAUACCAAGUUCCAAUUAAUAAAUAUAUUCCAGUUGAAUUUCCCUUUAGGGAUCAAUAAAGUUCUUAUCUUAAUAUUGAGUUGAUGGAUGAAGAGUUAGCUGCCUUGAAGUUGGUGGACCUGCUCCUGGUCUGUCUCUGUCUUGUUGGCUGCUACUGAACUUCACCGUCUACUGUACCUAAUUUACCUUUGAUAACAAGCUGUUAAUUUAGAUAUUGGUGAUGUGCUAACACCACAGCAAAGAUACUUUAUCUGAGGUAUAUAUACUUUAAUACAGUAUGUAUUAUGUGUGACAUUUUCAGCUGCAGCUAACAGCCAGGUGAUCUGUUGGAGCUGUUUAGUUUUCAAUUAGCCGAACUACUGUAAUAAUGUUAGUUUUCUUUAUAGGCCUAUUGUUUUUAAUGUGCUAUCUGUCAGAAAACACUAAUGUAUUGUUUCUUGUCUCAAACAGAAGAUACAUCCGCUCCAGUGCAUUUCUUGGUAAGUAUAAGUGUUUUGACCAAGACUGACAACAAACAAAAUAAAAAUAACUGGAUUAAUGAUUAGCUUAAUCCUGUUUAACAACAUGUCAUUCAAGAUAAUGUACAACAUAUGAUGCAUUUUUCAAAUACUGAGUUUAAAUUGAUAUGAAAUGUUGAUUUAUCUGUAACACUGUUGUAUAUGCUAUAUGAAAAUCAUAGAUGGGAUACAGUUUUUUCCUAGUAGACAACAGUGAGCUAACAAUAUUACUAUACUACUAAAUUCAUUUAUUUUAAACAUUUUAACUUGAUGUGAAAGUCUGAAUCUUAAUUUUGACAAUAAUUAAGUGGGAAAAUCAUUCAGAUAAUUACUAUAACUUUGAUAAUAAUCAUUACUUUGAAUGAAGUGAGCUGUGAGGGCGUCUCUUUUGAGUGUAAUAAAAAACUCUUUUCUUCCCUCUCCCCCUCCUCCUGCAUCAUCUUGUCCUCUGACCUGUGUGAAAUUCCCUACCAACUCUGAAGUGUAAGUUUACACUUGUAUAUACUUAUUAAGCAAUCAAUUAAGUGUUACAUUUUUCUCUGCAGUUUAUAAUGACAUUUCAGUGUUGCGUAUUUCACCUCAAUUACAUAAGAAAUUAAAAAGUAAAGCGGUCCUUCAUUGUGUUUGUGCAUUUCUCUCCAUUUUAACAAACAUUUUUACAAGCUAAGAGAGCAACUAAAUUUUAUUUUUUUGUCCCUCUAUCUUUUCCCUCCUCUGAACUCCUCAACGCUAUCUUUGCUGCGGGCCCUGUUCACUGUUGCCGAUUCAGCUGUAAGUUCACAAAUAAAGUAACACUGACACUUUUUACAACACAUCAUGUAAAAACCUGACACUAUGUCCUUAUUUGACAAACUGCAGCACAUUCUCAUUGUAACACAAACCAUUUUAAAAAAACACUUUAUUUAAACUAAAGCAGAACCAAAUAGAAAUAAUUUUGCAGGCUGAUUACAAUUGAAACGACAAUGCAGUGAGAUGUGCUGGUUUUGUACAACUAAACUAAAAAUCUCUUGUCUCUUUUUUUCCAUUUUCCUUCUUGCCAACUCUAUACUGUCUCCAAGUGCAGACCGUUUUGUGGCGACUCGACGUAAGUUCACACAGGAAUGACAUUUUCAUGAAUAACGCAGGGUGCCUUUAUUCAAUACAUUAUGGACCCCUCAUCAUGUCCAAACUUAAGUUUUUUUCCCCUUUGAUAAUGUAAUAUUCACAGUUGGAAAUGAACAGGUUAAAUGUGAUAUGCAAUACACUUAUUUGCAUUUUAUUUCCAAUCAUUGGAAAGCAAUUUGUUACUAUUAAAUUGUGGAGUUGUAAUUUUUUAAUCAUGAAAAUCCAAAUAAUUACUAAUUGAAUGUGAUUACCUCCUUUUGUGCAGCUGUUAUAUUAGAAAAAAAAUCAAAUUUAAUGUUCCUUAAUAUGGAAUAGACAAUCAUUAUCUAUGCCGCCAUUGAUUUAUUUUAUUAUUCAUUUAAUCCUCCGUUUAGAAAUGUGUAUAUCCUUCUAAGGUACUUUGCAUGCUUCUGUUUACAGCUUAUGGAGCUGCUUGGCCUCAUUAUAACUUAUUACAUUGUAGGAAUACUUAAAACACGGUAAAGGAAAUUACAUUUUCCAAAACACAUCAUAUUUUAUCAGCAGAGUAAUCCAUUGUUAUUACUGCUUACCAGGACAUGGUUAUAAACAUUAUAGAGGGAACUUAAAAUAAAGAGUCUAAAAUGCGCAGGGAUAAUAGAAACUUUUGUAAAAUACUUUGAGGUCCUAAAUUUAAAAAGGCUGGUUCUGUGGUUGGAUUCAAGUUGGACUCACUGGAGGAUGUGGUGGAGAGAUGUACUGUGAGGAAGGUGGAGGCUAUUCUAGAGAACAUGAAUCACCCACUUCACAACACCUUGGUGGACCGAAAGGCCUAUGGUGGUGGACGGCUCCUCUCUCUGCUGCAGGACAGAAAGACUCAUAAGAUCUUUUGUACCCACAGCCAUCAGACUUUACAAUUUAAAUAGUAGAUGACUUUUUGAGACAUGACAAGUGAGACUACAGACAAUUGAAUUUCCCUUAGGGGAUAAAUAAAGUUCUUUGUAUCUUAAAUACAUUUUCAAUUAUCUCUUAUGAACACUCUGUAUUUUUAGUCAUUAAUUUGAUUGAAGGGUUAUCGAACAAGACAAUGGUCACUUCCAGCUUUUAACUCAACUUGACUUUUGAUAGAUGUAUAGUUGAGGACAGCCACUUGGUGGAUUGAGUAAAAGUACAUUAUAAUCUCACUAGCUUUGGGUGGAUGUUGGAUCAUUUAAUUUUGUCUUUAAUAAAAAAAGAUUAAUGUUUUUUUCCAUUGUGUCUUACAGGUAUCCUGUCCAGUCUCCCCACUCUCCCCUAUCAUUUUGGUCCCUCUGACUUUCCUGUCUCCUCUACCACUCUUUCUGAUUGAAAAGCCACUCUACAAUCCUUGAACAAUUCUUUGAUACCAUUGAAACAAAUCUUUGAUACCAUUGAAACAAAUCUUUGAGACCUAUUGAAACAAAUCUUUGAGACCUAUUGAAACAAAUCUUUGAGACCCUUUGCAAUAAAUCUUUGAGACCUUUUGCAACAAAUCAUUUGAGACCCUUUUGCAACAAAUCAUUUGAGACCCCUUUGCAACAAAUCAUUUGAGACCCCUUUGCAACAAAUCAUUUGAGACCCCCUUGCAAUAAAUCUUUUGAGACCCCUUUGCAAUAAGUCUUUUUGAGACCUAUUUUAACAAACCACCUUUUUUGAGAAACCUUUGUAAACAAUCAACCCUUUUUUUGAGAAACCGAACUUCUGAAAAGCUGUACAUUUAAUGCAACCACUGUAUUGGAAAAAGCCCUAAUACUGCAAAAGUCUCAUUGUUGUUCUAGGUUUUCCUUUCCUGUCUGUGGAUCCAGAGUUUCACCAGAAGAAGUGUCAUCAGCACCACCACAUCUGCAUCCCUGGUCUUGAAAGAAAAAAAAAACGUUUCAUAUAGAGUAUUUCAGUUAGAUAUUAUUUCAAGCACAAAGUUCUAAGAUUUAAAAAUUGUUGUUGAUUUGUGUUUUUUCUUAAAACAUUUAUUUAGUCUUGCCUAGGAUUUCCUUAGAAAACAUUUGAUAAACUAUUGUUGGUAUACACACAGUUAUAAAUUACAUGUUUUGGAGACUAUAAGAGCUGUUGAAUAACGAUCUCUCUUGAAGAAAUAAAGCGCUUUUGCCUAUACUGCUGCUUAUCAUUAACUUUAAAUUGUUGUAUAAACACAUUGUUGUGAAAGAACAGCUAAAAUGCCGAGGAAGAGUAAGAAGUCACAGGUUGCAAGCCAGCGCUGGCAGAGGUUACAUGACAUUGACCGUGUAAAAGCAGAUGGUGUUCCUCAGAGCAUUGGAGAGGUAAAGAAGUCUGAAGUAUGUGAUGUUUCAAGUGAGUCACCUGCAGCAGGUCCGUCUAACACUAAACAGGUAAACCGCAGAGGUGAAACCAAUGAUCCAGGUGUACAACAGGUAACAUAUGCAGACAUGGUAAAGAGAAAACUUGCUAGUGUGUCACGUACUGCCGGUCCAUCCAACUCUGGUCAGAUAAACUACGUAGCCCAAACUGACAAGCCAUGUUCAACCCAGGUAUCAUAUCCAGACACUGUUAAGAAGGGAAACCACAGUAAUUAUCAGUCUGUAUCAGGCUCUUCUCGGGUAAGAAAUGUUAACUCUGUUAAUCAGUCAGGUGAAAAAAACGUCUGUGCGUCACGCAGCCAAGCGUCUCUGAAAUACGGCCAAUCCAGGAACCAGCAGUGCACCUGUAACUCACUGACAUUUCUAGCAUUCCUGUAUGAGAACGAACACAUCACCAGAGCAGACCUGGACCGUGUUUUGGAUAAAGGUGAUGUGAUGUACAGAGAAAUCAGAAAAACUGUUGAUCACGCCCAUCUGACAACCGAUGAGCUCCCUGACCAGGUUCCUGCCCGCAGACACAUGCAGACUGUUGACAAGUUACAGCUGUCUAGAUACGGUACGUUUGGAGAUCCAGAUCCCGGAGCUGUUGAUACCUUUCUGGACCUCGAGAUGGGACUGAGCUGCUUAUUAUCAGAUGUGCAGUAUGCUUUGCUGCUAAUGACUUCGCUGUGCAUUGCAGUUUUCAGAACCAGAGAUGGCAGGUACGGUUUCUUUGACCCACAUGCUCGGACAGCUAACGGUUUGCCUCUGCUUAAGGUCACACCUACUCCUGGUACCGCUGUCAUGGUAACAUUCACACGCCUCAGUGACAUGAUUGCCAGGCUCAUCAGGUAUCACCACAUAUUGGGCACAGUAGGGUCCUGUACCUAUGAGCUCAAGCCAGUUGUGUUCUGUGAUGUGAACCCAAGUGAUGCUAUCCCAGCCACAGAAAGUCCGUCCACAAGUCCCUCUGUCACAACCACUGUGAUAAAUGAUGACACAAGUGCCCCACAGAUGAACACUGAUGUCCAUGAAAACACUGAAUGGGACAUGGAAACUGAACCAGAACCACUGAUCGACUGCAACCAGUGUUCUGUCACAUUAACUGGUCCUGAAUUUCUCACUCCAGAGAUGAACACUACUGUAAGUGAUGACACGUCACAGAAAGCCUCAACUUUGAUGGAAACUCAAGCUCAUCAACCAGGUCAAAUCAACAAUAAUUCUGUCACAUUAGAGGAAAGUCAACAGACAAAAUCAAAUUUGACACAACCAUUGAUAACGAUCCCCGUUGCUAGUGACAAAGUUAUCCAUGACAUCUCCACUUAUCUGUCAAAAUUAAGCAAACAGCAAAAAAAGAAAUUUAAGAGGAGACUAAUGAGAUCUGGAAAGACAUUACAAAAGAAAGAGAAUCAAAAAAGGAGAGAGAGAGAAAAGUAUGCUAAGAAUGAAACGUACAAAGCAAAGAAAAAGUCUUAUUCAAGUGAGAAAUAUUCUGUCAAUCCUGAAAUACAAACAAAGAAAAGACAAAAGAUCACAACUAAAUACAGGGAAAGCACAGACUUCAGACUGAAACAAAAAGAAUAUAUCAACAAAAAAUACAAAGAAAAUGUUGAAUUUAAAGGCAGACAAAAAGAAUAUAUCACAAGGAAAUACAGAGAAAAUGUUGAUUUUAAAGGCAGACAAAAAGAAUAUAUCACAAGAAAAUACAGAGAAAAUGUUGAUUUUAAAGGAAGACAAAAGUUAUAUUUCAGGAAAAAAUACAGAGAAAAUGUUGAUUUUAAAGGCAGACGAAAAGAAUAUUUCAGGAAAAAAUACUCAGAGGAUGUUGAUUUCCGCCAAAGACAGAGAUCCUACUUCAAUCAUCGAUAUUCAAAUGAUGAAACAUUCUAUCACCGACACAGACAACUGAUGAGACAAAUAAUGCGAGACAGGUAUAAGACAAAUCUUGCAUACAGGACUAUGCAUAAAAUGAGGUGUGCAUUGAAAAUAUCAAAGAAAUACAAACAGAUAAGUAGACAAACAUGUGAGACUGACAGAGAGAGUGAAAACCCACUUAUUGAAAGUGCCAUAAAUGAUUUCAGAUCACACAUUAAAGCUGGUCCCACCCAUGUUUGCACAGUUUGCCACAAAGCCUCAUUUCCAAACCAGGUGCAAAAGUGCAAGAGGUCCAACUAUGUGAAAAAUCCAAUCAUGGUUUCAGCUUGUCUCAAAGGUCAGUACGUCCAUGAUUGUAAUGAUAACUGCAGAAAUCAGUGCACUGUCCCUGAUGAGAGAAAGACUGAGUGGAUUUGUCACACCUGCCAUGACCAUCUGAAAAAUGGAGCCAUGCCCAAACUUGCCAUAGCAAACAACUUGGAGCUUGCUGACAUACCACCUGAGCUGUGUGACCUCAACAUACUGGAGAGACAUCUGAUAGCAAAGUGCAUAACAUUUGCCAAAAUCAUUCCUCUUCCCAAAGGCAGACAGAGAGCUAUACAUGGUAAUGUUGUAUGUGUUCCCUCUGAAGUCCAGGAAACAAUUCAGGCUCUACCCAGAUUGAGAAAUGAGUCUCAGGUGAUGAGAGUAAAACUGAAGAGACGUUUGAGUUACAGAGGUCACCAUCUGUUUCAGACUGUUACCUGGUCCAAGCUAGUGCAGGCUCUGCAUAAACUGAAAGAGACACACCCCCAGUAUGAAGACAUCACUAUUAGAGAUGAGGAGGAGUUAUGUGACCCCACACUUCCUGAUGAUGGUGAUGAGGAUGAGGAUGAGGAUGAUGAUAACACAAUGAAUGAUGACGACUAUGACGAUGAGGAUUUGAUGGAAAUUGAUAGAAUUGAGGCUGCUGCCAUGUAUGAGGCUGAAACUAAUGUUGAAAAUGAGGAUGAGAACACAGAGCUGUGUGAUAAAAGUCAGACCCAGGACAAUGAUGAUCAGACACAACAACAGGAUGCAGACAUAUCUAAUGGUGGUGUUGUUUUGGAGUCGUGCCUUCAGCCACGGGAUGUUUCUGAGGAGAUAUUGUGUUUCAGUGACUCUACAUACUCAGUAGCUCCAGCAGAGAGAAACAAUCCAGUCAGUUUUUUCAAAACACCCAAACUAGAGGCCAUGGCGUUUCCUGUUCAGUUUCCCACUGGUGAGAAUACACUGGAUGAAAACAGACCCAUGAAACUAUCACCCAGUAGUUAUUUUAAAGCAAGGCUCUUUGGUGUCAAUGAUCGCUUUGCCAAAGAUACCAACUACCUGUUCUUUGCACAGUUUGUGACUGAAAUACACUUGGCUACCUCCAGCAUGUCAAUACAGUUACGCAAAGGCAAACCUUUGACCAGAGACGGACGUAAAAUAACAUCCAGAAUGUUGAGAGACAAAUACGAAGUGGAGAGACUGGUGAGAAACAGAGAUGCUAUCAGAUUUAUGCAGCCGCUCAGAGGAACACCAGCCUACUGGGACAAAACUACAAAAGAUCUGUUUGCUAUGAUCAGACAGUUGGGCAGUCCUUCUUUCUUUGUCACAUUUUCUGCAGCAGAAAUGCGUUGGCCUGAGGUGAUUAUUGCAAUAAAAUUACAACAAGGUGAGGAGGUGAAUUUUGAAGAGCUCGACUGGUCCACAAAGUGUGACAUUCUGAGAAGCAAUCCUGUGACAACGAUGCGCAUGUUUGACAAGCGUGUUGAAGCACUGUACAGAGAUCUGAUCAUGUCUCCUGCACAACCCCUGGGCAAAGUUUUUGACUUCUUUUGGCGUCUCGAGUUUCAGCACAGAGGAAGUCCUCAUAUACAUGGUCUUUUGUGGGUAGAAGGUGCACCUGUGUUUGAGAGAGACUCUGACAAAACUGUGUGUGACUUUGUGUCCAAACACAUCUCUGCUCAGCUCCCUGACCCAAACAAACAGCCUGAACUGUACAAAAAGGUCAAAGAAGUGCAAAUACACAGUAAGAACCACUCAAAGACAUGUUUCAAAAGUGCAAGUUCUGGAUGCCGAUUUGGAUUCCCAAAACCACCCUCCAGACAGACAAUGAUAACAAGACCUGUGGGUGAUGAUGAGGAGUCAGAGAGACUUAAGAGAGCCAAAGAGAAACUUGCACCACUGAAUCAGCUGCUGAAUGAGACACAAACUGAAUCCAUGAGUUUUCAACAGCUCCUGUCUGUCUGUGACUUAACCGCUGAUGAGUAUGAGAAACACAUGAAUGUGAUGAGUCAGUCCAGCAACAUCAUUCUGAAGCGUGAGCCAAAAGACUGCUGGGUAAACACCUACAACCCUCACCUGCUCAAAGCUUGGGAUGCAAACAUUGACGUGCAGUUCAUUCUCAGCUACUACAGUCUGAUCCAUUACAUAUGUACGUACAUGUGUAAAAGUGAGAACUCUGUGAGCCAGUACCUGCAAACACUCAUUCAGAACUCCGACAGAGAAUGUGUCAAUGAAUGUGAUGAAAUGAAAGCGGUCAUGCAGGCGUAUUCAAAAAAGCGAGAAGUAUCAGCACAAGAAGCUGUUGCCCGAGUGACUUCACUGAACAUGAAAAAGAGUUCACGCAGUGUGGUUUUUGUCCCAACUGAUGACAACCCAGUGAAAAUGAGUCUGCCUGUGUCAAGCCUUGACAACACAACACCAGACAGCUUGAAUGUGUGGAUGACAUCCUUAACAGACAAGUACAAAUCCAGACCUGAAUCACCAGAGUUUGAAGAGAUGUGCAUGGCUGAUUUUGCUUCUACCUGCAGACUGGUGUAUGGACAACAGACCAAGGGCAAGAAAGUGGUACCUUUGCUGAAUGAACUAGGCUUUAUACAGAGACGAGAAAGUGACAACGCUGCUGUCAUCAGGUAUCGCCGCAUAUCCAAAGAGAAAUACCCUGAGCAGUUUUACGGCACAUUGCUUAGACUGUAUCUUCCAUACAGAUCAGACGAUGAGCUGAAAAGACCAUAUUUUCCCACAUAUGAGUCAUUCUAUGAGAGAGGUGUGGUUCAGCUGCCGUAUUCUGACCGACCCCUGAGUGUGAAACUCAUCGUGAAAAGAAACAGAGAGAGAUAUGAAAAAAACAGUGAGGAAAUUGACUCUGCUCUCGAGGACUUUGAACAGAACAGAGGUGUGGUCGAUGAAUGGUGUAAUUUGGCACCUGAAUCUGAACUGGUGAGGUUGGAGUGUAUCGAUGAACUGGACCCAGACAGUGUGAAAAUGUCCAAGAGGAUGUACCGGAUUACAGCAGACAAUCAAAUGCUGCUACAGAGGCCAGAGUCAUGAGAGAGCCCCCUACAAUCGAUCCCACACAGUUACGACAAAUGUAUCAGAGUCUGAACCAGAAACAGGCAUGUGUGUUCUAUGCAGUGAGAGACUGGUGCAUAAAAAGAGUCUGUGGACCACAACCAGAGCAGUUUUUCUACUACAUCAAUGGUGGUGCUGGCACUGGAAAGUCACAUCUCAUUAAAUGCAUUCAUUCAGAAGCAUCAAAGAUUCUGAGAACACUACCUAGACGUGCAGAGGAAGCUGACAUCUCAAACCCAACUGUGCUGUUGACUGCUUUCACCGGAACUGCAGCCUUUAACAUCUCUGGAACAACACUGCACUCUCUCCUCAAGCUGCCCAGAAGUUUGAAACCUCCUUUUCAAGGUCUUGGGAACCAACUUGAUGAAAUCAGGUGUGAGCUUUUAAACGCUGAAAUCAUCAUCAUUGAUGAAAUCUCCAUGGUGUCGAAGCCUCUGUUUGCUUAUGUGGAUAUGAGACUGAAACAGAUUAAAGGCAGCCACAGACCCUUUGGAGGAAUGUCAGUCAUUGCUGUGGGAGACUUUUACCAGCUACCGCCUGUGCGACAGUCCAAACCACUCUGUGUCUAUGAUCCAAGUGAGCUUGACCUCUGGAGAGACAACUUCCAGGUGAUCACUUUAGAUGAGAUCAUGCGACAGAAAGAUGACAAAACUUUUGCCGAGAUGCUGAACAGACUCCGUGUGAAAACAAGGUCAGAUGAGAUUUCUGAAGCUGACAGAGCUCUGCUGUCACAGCGUGUCACUGAACCACAACGGUGUCCCUCUGAUGUCCUGCACAUUUUUGCUACAAACAAACAAGUCGCAGCACACAACUCUGCCACACUAUCUCUGCUCCAUUCUGAUAUCACCACCAUUGAUGCAGACGACUUUAAAAAGGACCCACACACUGGACACAUGAAAAGACAAGGUGCACCAUGUCAUGGAAGCAGAAAUGACCUACCUGACACACUAGAUGUUGCAGUAGGUGCUAGAGUCAUGCUUACCAGAAACAUUGAUGUGUCUCAAGGAUUGGUGAACGGAUCAUUUGCUACAGUAGGCCGUAUCAUAAGCUCUGAAAACAACGGUUCUGCUCUUGUCACUAUGCUUGGUCUCAGGAUGGAUGAUGAAACAGCUGGCAGGAGCUAUCGUACUCGAGGAGACAAUCUUGUGUACAUCGAGAGAUCUGAGGAGGCUCUGCAACAGAAAGGAGUGGUACGCAGACAGUUUCCUGUGAAACUUGCCUUUGCAUGCACGAUACACAAGGUUCAAGGUAUGACCAGAAAAUCUGCUGUUGUCUCUCUGAAGCACAUUUUUGAGCCCGGCAUGGCCUACGUAGCUAUCAGUCGAGUGACCUCUCUCAGCGGACUGUACAUGCUUGAUUUGGAUGAGAGUAAAAUCCAUGCUAACCCUGCAGUCACUGUAUCUUUGGAGACCAUGACGCAAGCUAACUUUGAUCACCUCAUGCCUUUUCUCCAGAUCCAGCAUUCUCUCAGCAGACAGGACACUGUGAGCAUCAUUCAUCACAACACCGAAGGAUUACCUGCUCAUGUGAAUGACAUCAAAAGCCAUCAUGAACUGUGUCUUGCAGAUGUUUUGUGUCUGACAGAAACUCACCUACAGGGCUCCUUUGUGGCAGACAGUCUCCAAUUUGAGGGCUACACCAUGUUCAAACGCAACAGACAUUUGUCCUACACUAACUUUCCACAGAUGGCCAGUAAAGGAGGUGGUGGAGUCGCUGUUUAUGUGAAAAACCAUUUGCAGGUUGUGGAGAAACAGUACCUGAAUAAUGUGACUGACCUCGAGUUUGUGGCUUUGAAGGUUGAAUCUCCUGUAAGUGCUCUGAUUGCAGCUGUGUACAGACCUCCAGACUACAGUGUGUCAUCAUUCCUGUCCAAUCUGGGAAGCCUUCUGGACUCACUUGAGAUCAUGGACUGUCAUCCCAUCAUCGUCUGUGGCGACUUCAAUGAGAAUCUCUUUUCUAAUGCAAGUAAGCCAAUUUUGGAUUUCUUUCAGUCCAAGGGAUAUGGUCAACUGAUCACUGCUGCUACAACGGACAAGAACACACUGCUGGACCUGAUCUUCAUCUCACGACCUCAGCUAUGUCUCUCCUCAGGUAUCAUGCAGACGUACUACAGUUACCACAACGCCACUUACUGUGUCAUUUCAUCCAACAGGUCAUAGAGGAAACUGCUCUGAAGGAAAAGACAAACUACAGAGGGUUUAGCUGAUGUUCUGCUUAUAUUUUCAGUGCCCAUUUGGUGUUUGGUGAUUGUAAGUUUUUGAAUGCAAAAAAAAAAAAAAAUUAUGGCGGAAUUUUUUAGAAAGGCAACAUUUUUCAGGUUGUACAAUUUUCAGCUAUUUGAAUGUUAAAAGUUAUGAUAUUUGGCCUUUGCACUUAUGUCCAGACAAGUUAAUCCAUUUAACUCACAACUGCAGCAAUGUCUUGCCUCAGGUAUCCUGCGGACCUGCUAUAGUAACCACAAUCCCACUCACUGUGUCAUUUCAGGUCAUAAAGGGAAACUGCUCUGAAGGGAAAGACAAACCAGAGAAGUUGUGGCUAAUGUUAUGUCUAUAUUUUUAUUAGUACAGAUUGAAAUUUUUUUAGCAAUUUAAAAUUUUCUGGUGCAAAAAAUAUUUUUAUGGCUUAAUUUCAACAUUUUCAGGUAGUACAAUUUUUAACUAUUCAAAUGUAAUAAAUGUUAUUUUUUGGCCUGUGCAUUUAUCAAGUCCAGUCAAGUCAAGUUAAUCCAUUUAACUUGACUUGACUGGACAUAGGGAGGGUGGGUGCGGAUUGAUAAAUGCACAGGCCAAAACUCUCAGCUGCUGUGUACAAUAAUGUAUACAGCAGCAAAAAUUAAAAACCUCCAUCAGAAAGUGUGUGUUCCCUAAUGAACACACACUUUCUGAUGUUCUGUGACCUACCAGCUGAAACCCCCCUUUUCUCCACCCAACUUUACACUACUCUCUUAGCAUGGGUGGCUGUAAGUACACUAGGGCAAACAUAAGAUUCCUUUCCUUUGGGUAUGUUUUGUUUCAUUUUAUUUUAUUUUUUCAGUUGUAUCCUACAUCUUUGGCCUGACCUCCAUUAGUGAUGUCCAAACUAGCUCAAUGUAAACUGAAAAUAUUAUCAAACUGUCAACCAAAAGUAAACACAUCACCUGUAGGUACAGUAGAGUAAAGCCAAGUUUCCUUUUGUUUGGGUAUUUUUUUUUUCUUCUUCAGUUGUCUCUACCAUCUUUGUCCUGACCAUUAGUGCUGUCCUGACUAGCUCACUGUGAGCAGAAAAAAAUUACCAAACCAUCAACCAGAAGUAAACACAUCACUUUGGACCACUCAAAGACACAGUCUACUUGCUGUUUAACCCAGUCUUUGGUCAGAGGUGAAGAAGAGAUGACAUCCUCCACACCAUCCCCCUGCUGCUCUCAACAACCAUCAUCGCUGUGCUGGACAGACUGCAGCACCCACCAGGACCGUUCUCUCAUGGACUACACAAACAUGUGUUUUACCUGCUCGUGCUCCAGAUGUCCUGAAGCAGCUCUCAAGGACCACCAGACACCAGGCUGAAGCAGAACUGAUGCUGUAGUACCUGUCACUCACUUGGCUCGUUCCUGCUGAACCUCCAAGAGGUAAACCCCUCUUCAAGAAAGUCUGAGGUAAUGUCUUGGUGAACUUAGUUAUCUUAGCUGCUGUAUUAAUGCUUGUGACGCUAUUGUACAGCUCUGCUGAUAUCAUCGUCUUUAACAGCAGUGUUUUCUCCCAGGUCUUCUUCAAGCCAGUUAAGAGAGGAAGAACAGCUUAGACACUCAGGCAGCUGAACGCACCAAAGAUGGACAUCAUGCAGCCACCCUGAGCCUUGAGCCUCUCUGUGUGAGGAAGCUUUGCUGCUGCAGACCUGGUGAAGUUGCUCUGGACAGAAAUAUUUUUUGCUCUGCUGCAGUGCUGAAGGUAUUCAUUGUAAUGAUGUGUGUAUUUAUUCAACGUGUUUAGUUUCACAGAUUAUCAACACAAAUGUUUCUGUUUAUUUCCUGUUUUGAACCAGCUACAUUCUCCUACUUCAAGUCACUGUCUGUUCAUCCACGGUGUAGCCAGUGCAGCUCAGCAGAGUCCUACUAAUGGUGAUCCUUCAAGUCCUGCAGCCCUAUGAAGCAAGCUGCAGCAGAUGUCAACACAUUCACAUCAUCAGUUUAUCUUUACUGCAGCUUUAAACUUCCCCAGAGGUAACGGUGUAUUUCCUUGCCCCAUAACAAAAACCAUGUUUGACCAACAUAGAAAAGUACAGAAUUACUGUUAGCACAGGAUUACAGAGUUAAAGUGAAGGGGAUUUUGUUUGUUUUUUUCAAACCUCUCCUCCUCCUGCCUCUGACUCCAGUGAUGCUGUCAACUCGAACACUGAUAACUGCACACAGCGAUCCUACAACCCUCAAAGGUCAAAACAUUACUUCACUCUAAACCUUCACUCUGAACUGUACUGGGCUCUGCUUUUGGUUUUGAAAAAAAGUGCCCAGACAGAACACAGUACUCACUUGAGGAACUGACUGAUUGUCUUCAGGACAGGACAACUAUUACUCUUGUAUUGUUUUGAAUCCUGUUUUCUACAUUAAGUGAUCGGUUGUCGAUAUCUGUUGAUAUUUUAAGUUUCCUUUAUGUUUCUUGGACUUUAUUUGUUCUAUUUUAUUUGAGUAUUUUCUUCCUUUUACUGUGUAUCUGUCCUUAUAUCAAAAGAUGACCAACACUGAUGAAGGGAAAAAAUACCAGUUACUUCAGUUGUUGCAGGCAGCUGAAUUUCUCGCUUUAAUAUGCUCACCAUAUCCCUCAAAUUUACGUACAAGAGAAGUCGUGUUUUAGAAAUAAAUGAUGUACUUUGGGUUUCAGCUGGUAGGUACACUGAAAUUUUUCACGUGUGCUUAGUCUUGGGCUAAUGUUUUGGACAGAAGUGAUCCCAGCAUUACAGUGUGAAACAAUCCCUGCUGAAGGUUGUCGUCACAAUCCUCAAACACAGGGCUUGGUUUAACGAGCUGUGUGAAGGUAUUUCACAGAGGAACAAAGUUUUUAUGCUUAUCCUUAAAAUGUAAUUCUCCAUAGUAGAAAACUUUUUAAAAAGAAACUAUCAAUGUGAAGACAACCCAGCAUUUCAGUAAGACAAGUAGUGUGAAUGUUUGGAUAAGAAAACACUGGUAUCUAAAAUGCUGACCAGAUUGUCAGUCCACUACAAUGAGCUGGUGACAGUAUUAGCCUUGGUCUAACUACUGUGAAAAGCCUUUUGGGUGGUAAGGUGGACCAAUACAUGCUAUAAAAAAUACUUCAGUGCCAUAUUUAAUUCAUACGCCUUUCACCUUACUUUGCCUGUAUAUUUCCGCAAGCCUGGAUGACUUUGCACCUUUUGCAUUUGCAUCCUUCACCUUACUCUCCACAUUAUUUUAAAAUUUUAAUUUAGAUUUGAUUUGAUUUUUUUUAUUUUAAUUUCUGUAAAAUACUUCUGUACUACACUGUACAGUAAACUGCUGAGUUAUUUUUGCAAACAAAAAUGCUGACCAGAUUGUCAGUCCACUACAAUGAGCUGAUGACAGUAUUAGCCUUGGUCGACUGUGAAAAGCCUUUUGGUGGUAAGGUGGACCAAUACAUUACAUCAAUUUAUUUCAAGUUAUCAAAUCUACUUUUUAAUCUGAUCAUUUUAGAUUUUGUUUAAUGUUUCAGUUUCAUAUCAUUUAAUUUUAUUAUUAUAAUCAUUUAUUAUUCUAUAAUUUUCUUUUUUUUCUACAUGAGAGGGCCCACAUUUCACUGCAGUUAGCUUUAAAAAAUACUACAAUGCCAUAUUUAAUUCAUAUGCCUUUCACCUUACUUUGCCUGUAUAUUUCCACAAGCCUGGAUAACUUUGCAAUACUUUGUAAUACUGCUGACCGAUUUUAGUAACAAUUUUUUUUAUAACUCUCAAGUCACCAUUUUCAUAUUUUUUUUUUAUGUAUAGGUAUAAAGGUUUUUCAGAUGUGCAAACUUAGUCUUAGGCUAAUCUAAACCCUUAAAAACACACAUAACAGUCCUGUAUCAGACUUUGAAAUCAAAUUUCAAGGUCUGUUUUUAAAGCCCACAACACAGGACUUGGCUCAAUGGGCCAUGACAAAUUUUAUGAGCCAACUUUUGUUAAGGUUUAGUAAUCCGAAAACACAAGAAAAGAGGUGAAUGUGGGUACAGGGCUGCUGGAGUUUGAAUCCAGUAAAUAAUGGGGUGUUAGCCUCAGUCUAACAACUGUGUGAAGAGCCUUUAAUGAUUGGGCUAAACAAUUUUAGAAACAACUGAAAAUGUGAUACCUUUGUCCAUCAACAAUCACAGCAACUACAAUCUUAAAACCUUAAGCUUAAGAGACAGAUUGGUCACCCAUGUAAAGAUUUCUGCUUCCAAAACCUGUUCACAAACAAAUUGUUUAUAAUUUGAUUUAAGGCACUAUGGAGCACUAUUUCUUUGUGUUUAUGUUUUGAUGUUUUUUUUUUAAUUAUUUUUUUAUAUUUUAUGAUUAAUCAUUUCAUUGCUCACAAAUUGUGAAAGAAUUGACAAAAAUAUUUUUCUUUUUUUCUUUGUUUUGGUUUUACUUAUGUAAAAACUCAAUUUGAAUUUUCAAGUUGAUUCAAAUUUUACAUUAAAAAUAUUUGUGUAAUAUAUUCAUUUCUCAUCUACAUUCAUUUCUACUUCUUCCAACAUGAAGGCCUUUUCAGCCAUCUUUAAAAUUCUUUACCAUAUUUUCUGUAAUGUUCAAGUUCAGUUCUUUAGCAAUUUGAAUAUUCAUACAGCUACUGGUUUACCUCUCCCAGUGUUUUUACAUCCAUAAAGCUCAUCUCUUUUUCAUCAUCUUCUUCUUCAGUUCUGUUACGGUUGAAACAAUCAUACAACUUCUACUUAUAACACUUCACCCCUUUAACAGUUUUUUCAUUUAUACCUUCUCCAUUUAUUACUGGCAGUUUAGCAUUGCUUUUUCGUCUUUCAGCACUCAGCAUUUCCACGCAUUUUCUGUAAGGAAAUGCAAUUUUUCUAGUUAUUAUUAUUAUUCUUCCGUCCCUUUUUUGGACCGCUUCUCCUCCUUCAAACUUUGUCCGAUUUCAACCAUUCAAACUUUAAACUAUUCCACUCCUUCAGGACAUUAUUGCGUGUAUUUUUUUUCUUUCUACCCUUUAUACUUUUUGUUUUUUUUAACUUUUUGUGCAAAAAUUUUAACAUUAAAGUCAAUGGGGAAAUCUUCAACUUCUUCCUUUCAUUCUUCCACCUUCUAGACCUUAUAACUUCAGCAUACUUUCACCUAGAGACCUCAUUUUUGCUUUAAAAUGUUCAUUCACUUGUCGACUAUUAUAGUUGUACUCAGUUUUUUGAUAUCUUUUACAGUUCUUCCACAAUUUAGCUUUAUGCAACUUGUGGUUUUCAGCAAAUUUCAAGCUUUAUAAUGGGUGUGUAUUGGAGAGUUUAGAGUGAUGAUGUCAUCAGCUAGAGUGCAGACCUCGUCUCUGAUCGACAGAACCUCGCUCGAAUAUAUCGCUCCCACGCCCACAAAUCUCACUCCACUGACACAAAUAAUACAUCAAAAUGGAGGUAUAUGUGUCCUGCUUCUCACAAAAGAGGUUUCAAAUCAUUAAAUCGUACCCCUUGGCCAGCAGGUGACCAACUGUCCAGAUAGGCGCAAAUAUCUCCCCAUUGGCCCUAAUGUAUUUCUUCUCCAAGAAAAUCCUUAUCGUCACUCAGGCUCAGACAUUUUUAACUCGCUGUUGUGGCCACAUUUUUCGGAGUACAGACAUGAAAAACACAUCAUUGUGUUCAUGAAGGACGGAGGAUUCGUACGAUGUUCUUAUUUUCAUUCUGGGACUUAAGGAAAUCACGCUAUGUGAAGAAGUUCACAGGCUUCUAAUCCUCUGCUGUUCAGCUGCUUGUCAUUCAAACAGUAGGUCAGUGAUUUGCCUUUGAUCUCACAGCUGUUAGGGAUGCAGUCAUUAAUGAGACACACACACACACACACACACACACACACACAUUCUUGUACUUGUUGCUUUGUCAGGUCUACCUUGCAGUUCACCUGCUUGUACACACAGUUAAUAUGUGUCUGCUUCACCACCUAUCUCCACCCACAAACUUUGAGCUACAGAAACCAUUCUGGGCUUGAAAAAUUCAGCUCAUUGAAGAUAUUAUGGGGUGUUUUGAGGAUUGUGAUAAUAAAUUGUAUUAAUGUGUUCAGCAAAAUCUUGUAUUCUCACAAGCUCCUUAUGAAUUUAUACAGAGGAUGAGCGUCAGGGCCUACUUGGAGUCCUGUUUCCUUAGCUUCAAGCCUUCUUUCUCCUGCUAUAGUUAUGCAUCCAAGGUCCCCAUGGCAACCAAUUUGUGCACCUGGAGACACACAGCUGACUGGAAAGCUGCAUCUAAUGGCCAUAUGAGACACAUGAAGCCAGGCUCAGUAAACAUAGCACCUGGGAUGACACUUAAAACCCAUUCCUAGAGCGCUUGAAAAACCUUCAGCCCCUAUCUCCUCACAUGACCUUUGACCUACAGAAACCAUUCAGGGCUUUAAAAUUUGAGCUAUUGAGGACAUUAUAGGGUGUAUUUAGGAUUUAUAUACAUUUAGAUUUUUCACAUUUUAAAGUCACUCAGUGAUGAUUUAUCAUUUAAUUUUUCAAACUAAUUUGAACUGAUUCAAACUGAUUCAAACCUUUCUAAUACUUAAAAAAUUAAACUUAUGCCACUUCCCACCUUCCUGCCUUUUAAGGCAAUUUCCUUCUUCAUUCAAACUUUGUGCAAUUUUAGACAUUUUUCUAGCCUCUUUCAGCAUGAAUAAAAUUUCUUUUUAUAGAGCAUAUUCAUACUAUUUGUCCUUCAACCAAUUAAUCAAUUAUCCAACUUACAUUUCUUUCACACCCCUUCAACAGCUUUAACAUUUAUACCUUUCUCCAUGUUUUAUUAGCAGUUUAGCAUUGCUUUUUCAGCUUUCAGCACUCAGCAUUUCCACGCAUUUUCUGCAAGGAAAUGCAAUUUUUCUAGUUAAGUGGAAAUGCUGAUUAAGCAUUUCCACUUAUUGUUAUUCUCCCGUUUCUUUAUUAAGUGGAAAUGCUGAUUAAGCAUUUCCACUUAUUGUUAUUCUCCUGUUUCUUUAUUCAACUUAUUAUUAUUCUUCCGUACCUUUUUUGGACCGCUUCUCCUCCUUCAAACUUUGUCCGAUUUCAACCGUUCAAACUUUAAACUAUUCCACUCCUUCAGGACAUGAUAGCUAUUACUUUUCACUCUUCUACCUUUUAUACUUUUUGUUUUUUUUUUACUUUUUGUGCAAAAAUUUUAACAUUGAAGUCAAUGGGGAAAUCUUCCAUAUCUUCCUUUUAUUCUUCCACCUUCUAAGCCUUAUAACUUCAGCAUACUUUCACCUAGAGACCUCAUUUUUGCUUUAAAAUGUUCAUUAACUUGUCGGCUAUUAAUGUUGUAUUCACUUUUUUGUGCUAUCUUCUACAGUUCUUCCACAAUUUAGCUUUAAGCAACUUGUGGUUUUCAGCAAAUUUUCAGGCUUUAUAAUGGGUGUGUAUUGGAGAGUUUAGAGUGAUGAUGUCAUCAGCUAGAGUGCAGAGCUCAUCUCUGAUCGACAGAACCUCGCUCGAAUAUAUCGCUCCCACGCCCACAAAUCUCAAUCCACACCCAUAAAAAAUACGUCAAAAUGGAGGUAUAUGUGUCCUGCUUCUCACAAAAGAGGUUUCAAAUCAUUAAAUCUUACCCCUUGGCCAGCAGGUGACCAACUGUCCAAAUAGGCGGAAAUCUCUCCCCAUUAGACCUAAUGUAUUUCUUCUCCAAGAAAAUCCUUAUCCCCACUCAGGCUCAGACUUUUUUAACUCGCUGUUGUGGCCACAUUUUUCGGAGUACAGACAUGAAAAAGACAUCAUUGUGUUCAUGAAGGGCGGAGGAUUCGUACGAUGUUCUUAUUUUCAUUCUGGGACUUAAGGAAAUCGUGCUAUGUGAAGAAGUUCAGAACCCUAAAUUCACUGCAGUUCAACAGCUUCUCCAUUCAAACAGUAGGUCAGUGAUUUGCCUUUGAUCUCACAGCUGCUUAGGAUGCAAUCAUUAACGAGACACACACACACACACACACACACAUUCUUGUACUUGUUGCUUUAUGAGGUCUACCUUGCAGUUCAGCUGCUUGUACACACAGUUAAUAUGUGUCUGCUUCGCCACCUAUCUCCACCCACAAACUUUGAGCUACAGAAACCAUUCUGGGCUUCUAAAAUUCAGCUCAUUUAAGAUAUUAUGGGGUGUUUUGAGGAUUGUGAUAAUAAAUUGUAUUAAUGUGUUUAGCAGAGUCUUGUGUUCUCACAAGCUCCUUUUCAGGAAUAGAUACAGAGGCUGAGCGUCAGGGCCUACUUGGAGUCCUGUUUCCUUAGCUUCAAGCCUUCUUUCUCCUGCUAUAGUUAUGCAUCCAAGGUCCCCAUGGCAACCAAUUAGUGCACCUGGAGACACACAGCUGACUGGAAAGCUGCUUCUAAUGGCCAUAUGAGACACAUGAAGCCAGGCUCAGUACACAUAGCACUGGGGAUGACACUUAAAACCCUUUACUAGAGCGCUUGAAAAAACUUCAGCCCCUAUCUCCUCACAUGACCUUUGACCUACAGAAACCAUUCAGGGCUUUAAAAUUUAAGCUCAUUGAGGACAUUAUAGGGUGUAUUCAGAAUUUAAAUUCAUUUAAAUUUUUCAAAUUUUAAAGUCACUCAGUGAUGAUUUAUUAAUUAAUUUGUAAACUAAUUUAAACUCAUUAAAUCUUACUGAUACUUGAGGAUUUUGAAUUAUUUAAAUUUUCCCUGUUUAAAAUUAGUUUUAAUAUUUAUGCAUUAUUCCAUCAUUCAAACAAAAUCCCACCUCUAGAGCUACAACUACUGCUGAUGUCAAUUAAAUGAGUACUUUCCCCUCUACUUCAACUGUUAUUGUUCCUUUUUCUACUUUCUCUACUGCUGCUAUUGCUACUAUUUCUACUUUCUCUACUACUUUGACUCAUACUUCUUUUAUUCUAAACCUACUUCUACAGCUUACAUGACUACUAGUAUCACUACUUGACUUCUUAUCAUAUUACUUCUAGUACUACAACUUAAACUUAUGCCACUUCUCACCUUCCUGCCUUUUAAGGCAAUUUCCUUCUUCAUUCAAACUUUGUGCAAUUUUAAACAUUUUUCUAGCCUCUUUCAGCAUGAAAUUAAAUUUCCUUUUAUAGCGCAUAUUCAUACUAUUUGUCCAUUAACCAAUUAAACAAUUAUACAACUUAUAUUUCUUUUUUACCCCUUCAACAGCUUUAACAUUGAUACCUUUCUCCAUGUUUUAUUAGCAGUUUAGCAUUGCUUUUUCAGCUUUCAGCACUCAGCAUUUCCACGCAUUUUCUGCAAGGAAAUGCAAUUUUUCUAGUUAUUAUUAUUCUUCCGCCGUUUUUCGUCCGCUUUCAACUCCUUCCCAGUUUGUGCGAUUUCAACCGUUCAAACUUUAAACUAUUCCACUCCUUCAGGACACGUUUGCUAUUACUUUUCACUUUUCUAACAUUUAUACUUUUUGUUUUUUUUAACUUUUUGUGCAAAAAUUUUAACAUUGAAGUCAAUGGGGAAAUCUUCAAAUUCUUCCUUUUAUUCUUCCACCUUCUAGACCUUAUAACUUCAGCAUACUUUCACCUAGAGACCUCAUUUUUGCUUUAAAAUGUUCAUUCACUUGUCGACUAUUACAGUUGUACUCAGUUUUUUGAUAUCUCUUACAGUUUUUCCACAAUUUAGCUUUAAGCAACUUGUGGUUUUCAGCAAAUUUCAAGCUUUAUAAUGGGUGUGUAUUGGAGAGUUUAGAGUGAUGAUGUCAUCAGCUAGAGUGCAGACCUCGUCUCUGAUCGACAGAACCUCGCUCGAAUAUAUCGCUCCCACGCCCACAAAUCUCACUCCACUGACACAAAUAAUACAUCAAAAUGGAGGUAUAUGUGUCCUGCUUCUCACAAAAGAGGUUUCAAAUCAUUAAAUCGUACCCCUUGGCCAGCAGGUGACCAACUGUCCAAAUAGGCGGAAAUCUCUCCCCAUUAGACCUAAUGUAUUUCUUCUCCAAGAAAAUCCUUAUCCCCACUCAGGCUCAGACUUUUUUAACUCGCUGUUGUGGCCACAUUUUUCGGAGUACAGACAUGAAAAAGACAUCAUUGUGUUCAUGAAGGGCGGAGGAUUCGUACGAUGUUCUUAUUUUCAUUCUGUGACUUAAGGAAAUCACGCUAUGUGAAGAAGUUUAGAGCCUCUAAAUCCUCUGUAGUUCAGCUGCUUCUCAUUCAAACAGUAGGUCAGUGAUUUGCCUUUGAUCUCACAGCUGUUUAGGAUGCAGUCAUUAACGAGACACACACACACACACACACACACACACACACACACACACACACACACAUUCUUGUACUUGUUGCUUUAUGAGGUCUACCUUGCAGUUCAGCUGCUUGUACACACAGUUAAUAUGUGUCUGCUUCGCCACCUAUCUCCACCCACAAACUUUGAGCUACAGAAACCAUUCUGGGCUUCUAAAAUUCAGCUCAUUGAAGAUAUUAUGGGGUGUUUUGAGGAUUGUGAUAAUAAAUUGUAUUAAUGUGUUUAGCAGAGUCUUGUGUUCUCACAAGCUCCUUAUCAGGAAUAGAUACAGAGGAUGAGCGUCAGGGCCUACUUGGAGUCCUGUUUCCUUAGCUUCAAGCCUUCUUUCUCCUGCUAUAGUUAUGCAUCCAAGGUCCCCAUGGCAACCAAUUAGUGCACCUGGAGACACACAGCUGACUGGAAAGCUGCUUCUAAUGGCCAUAUGAGACACAUGAAGCUAGGCUCAGCACACAUAGCACUGGGGAUGACACUUAAAACCCUUUACUAGAGCGCUUGAAAAAACUUCAGCCCCUAUCUCCUCACAUGACCUUUGACCUACAGAAACCAUUCAGGGCUUUAAAAUUUGAGCUCAUUGAGGACAUUAGGGGGUGUAUUUAGGAUUUAUAUACAUUUAGAUUUUUCACAUUUUAAAGUCACUCAGUGAUGAUUUAUCAUUUAAUUUUUCAAACUAAUUUGAACUGAUUCAAACUGAUUCAAACCUUUCUAAUACUUAAAAAAUUAAACUUAUGCCACUUCUCACCUUCCUGCCUUUUAAGGCAAUUUACUUCUUCAUUCAAACUUUGUGCAAUUUUCGACAUUUUUCUAGCCUCUUUCAGCAUGAAUAAAAUUUCCUUUUAUAGAGCAUAUUCAUACUAUUUGUCCUUCAACCAAUUAAUCAAUUAUCCAACUUACAUUUCUUUCACACCCCUUCAACAGCUUUAACAUUUAUACAUUUCUCCAUGUUUUAUUAGCAGUUUAGCAUUGCUUUUUCAACUUUCAGCACUCAGCAUUUCCACGCAUUUUCUGCAAGGAAAUGCAAUUUUUCUAGUUAAGUGGAAAUGCUGACACAGCAUUUCCACUUAUUGUUAUUCUCCUGUUUCUUUAUUCAACUUAUUAUUAUUCUUCCGUACCUUUUUUGGACCGCUUCUCCUCCUUCAAACUUUGUCCGAUUUCAACCGUUCAAACUUUAAACUAUUCCACUCCUUCAGGACAUGAUAGCUAUUACUUUUCACUCUUCUACCUUUUAUACUUUUUGUUUUUUUUUUACUUUUUGUGCAAAAAUUUUAACAUUGAAGUCAAUGGGGAAAUCUUCCAUAUCUUCCUUUUAUUCUUCCACCUUCUAAGCCUUAUAACUUCAGCAUACUUUCACCUAGAGACCUCAUUUUUGCUUUAAAAUGUUCAUUAACUUGUCGGCUAUUAAUGUUGUAUUCACUUUUUUGUGCUAUCUUCUACAGUUCUUCCACAAUUUAGCUUUAAGCAACUUGUGGUUUUCAGCAAAUUUUCAGGCUUUAUAAUAGGUGUGUAUUGGAGAGUUUAGAGUGAUGAUGUCAUCAGCUAGAGUGCAGAGCUCAUCUCUGAUCGACAGAACCUCGUUCGAAUAUAUCGCUCCCACGCCCACAAAUCUCAAUCCACACCCAUAAAAAAUACGUCAAAAUGGAGGUAUAUGUGUCCUGCUUCUCACAAAAGAGGUUUCAAAUCAUUAAAUCUUACCCCUUGGCCAGCAGGUGACCAACUGUCCAAAUAGGCGGAAAUCUCUCCCCAUUAGACCUAAUGUAUUUCUUCUCCAAGAAAAUCCUUAUCCCCACUCAGGCUCAGACUUUUUUAACUCGCUGUUGUGGCCACAUUUUUCGGAGUACAGACAUGAAAAAGACAUCAUUGUGUUCAUGAAGGGCGGAGGAUUCGUACGAUGUUCUUAUUUUCAUUCUGGGACUUAAGGAAAUCGUGCUAUGUGAAGAAGUUCAGAACCCUAAAUUCACUGCAGUUCAACAGCUUCUCCAUUCAAACAGUAGGUCAGUGAUUUGCCUUUGAUCUCACAGCUGCUUAGGAUGCAAUCAUUAACGAGACACACACACACACACACACACACACACACACACAUUCUUGUACUUGUUGCUUUAUGAGGUCUACCUUGCAGUUCAGCUGCUUGUACACACAGUUAAUAUGUGUCUGCUUCGCCACCUAUCUCCACCCACAAACUUUGAGCUACAGAAACCAUUCUGGGCUUCUAAAAUUCAGCUCAUUUAAGAUAUUAUGGGGUGUUUUGAGGAUUGUGAUAAUAAAUUGUAUUAAUGUGUUUAGCAGAGUCUUGUGUUCUCACAAGCUCCUUUUCAGGAAUAGAUACAGAGGCUGAGCGUCAGGGCCUACUUGGAGUCCUGUUUCCUUAGCUUCAAGCCUUCUUUCUCCUGCUAUAGUUAUGCAUCCAAGGUCCCCAUGGCAACCAAUUUGUGCACCUGGAGACACACAGCUGACUGGAAAGCUGCUUCUAAUGGCCACAUGAGACACAUGAAGCCAGGCUCAGCACACAUAGCACUGGGGAUGACACUUAAAACCCUUUACUAGAGCGCUUGAAAAAACUUCAGCCCCUAUCUCCUCACAUGACCUUUGACCUACAGAAACCAUUCAGGGCUUUAAAAUUUAAGCUCAUUGAGGACAUUAUAGGGUGUAUUCAGAAUUUAAAUUCAUUUAAAUUUUUCAAAUUUUAAAGUCACUCAGUGAUGAUUUAUUAAUUAAUUUGUAAACUAAUUUAAACUCAUUAAAUCUUACUGAUACUUGAGGAUUUUGAAUUAUUUAAAUUUUCCCUGUUUAAAAUUAGUUUUAAUAUUUAUGCAUUAUUCCAUCAUUCAAACAAAAUCCCACCUCUAGAGCUACAACUACUGCUGAUGUCAAUUAAAUGAGUACUUUCCCCUCUACUUCAACUGUUAUUGUUCCUUUUUCUACUUUCUCUACUGCUGCUAUUGCUACUAUUUCUACUUUCUCUACUACUUUGACUCAUACUUCUUUUAUUCUAAACCUACUUCUACAGCUUACAUGACUACUAGUAUCACUACUUGACUUCUUAUCAUACUACUUCUAGUACUACAACUUAAACUUAUGCCACUUCUCACCUUCCUGCCUUUUAAGGCAAUUUCCUUCUUCAUUCAAACUUUGUGCAAUUUUAAACAUUUUUCUAGCCUCUUUCAGCAUUAAAUUAAAUUUCCUUUUAUAGCGCAUAUUCAUACUAUUUGUCCAUUAACCAAUUAAACAAUUAUACAACUUAUAUUUCUUUUUUACCCCUUCAACAGCUUUAACAUUGAUACCUUUCUCCAUGUUUUAUUAGCAGUUUAGCAUUGCUUUUUCAGCUUUCAGCACUCAGCAUUUCCACGCAUUUUCUGCAAGGAAAUGCAAUUUUUCUAGUUAAGUGGAAAUGCUGAUUAAGCAUUUCCACUUAUUGUUAUUCUCCUGUUUCUUUAUUAUUAUUAUACUUAUUAUUAUUCUUCCGUCCCUUUUUUGGACCGCUUCUCCUCCUUCAAACUUUGUGCGAUUUCAACCGUUCAAACUUUAAACUAUUCCACUCCUUCAGGACAUGAUGGCGUCUAUUUUUCACUCUUCUACCCUUUAUACUUUUUGUUAUUUUUAACUUUUUGUGCAAAAAUUUUAACAUUGAAGUCAAUGGGGAAAUCUUCAACUUCUUCCUUUCAUUCUUCCACCUUCUAGACCUUAUAACUUCAGCAUACUUUCACCUAGAGACCUCAUUUUUGCUUUAAAAUGUUCAUUCACUUGUCGACUAUUAUAGUUGUACUCAGUUUUUUGAUAUCUUUUACAGUUUUUCCACAAUUUAGCUUUAAGCAACUUGUGGUUUUCAGCAAAUUUCAAGCUUUAUAAUGGGUGUGUAUUGGAGAGUUUAGAGUGAUGAUGUCAUCAGCUAGAGUGCAGACCUCGUCUCUGAUCGACAGAACCUCGCUCGAAUAUAUCGCUCCCACGCCCACAAAUCUCACUCCACUGACACAAAUAAUACAUCAAAAUGGAGGUAUAUGUGUCCUGCUUCUCACAAAAGAGGUUUCAAAUCAUUAAAUCGUACCCUUUGGCCAGCAGGUGACCAACUGUCCAAAAAGGCAGAAAUCUCUCCCAUUGACUGUAAUGUUAUUUUUCUCCAAGAAAAUCCGGAUCAUCGCUCAGGCUCAGACUUUUUUAACUCGCUGUUGUGGCCUCAUUUUUCGAAGUACAGACAUGAAAAACACAUCAUUGUGUUCAUGAAGGACGGAGGAUUCGUACGAUGUUCUUAUUUUCAUUCUGGGACUUAAGGAAAUCGUGCUAUGUGAAGAAGUUCAGAACCUUAAAUUCACUGCAGUUCAGCAGCCUCUCCAUUCAAACAAUAGGUCAGUUCAUGGCUUUGAUCUUACAGCUGUUUAGGAUGCAAUCAUUAACGAGACACACACACACACACACACACACACACAUUCUUGUACUUGUUGCUUUGUGAGGUCUACCUUGCAGUUCAGCUGCUUGUACACACCGUUAAUAUGUGUCUGCUUCACCACCUAUCUCCACCUACAAACUUUGAGCUACAGAAACCAUUCUGGGCUUCAAAAAUUCAGCUCAUUGAAGAUAUUAUGGGGUGUUUUAAGGAUUGUGAUAAUAAAUUGUAUUAAUGUCUUCAGCAGAGUCUUGUGGUUCUCACAACCUCCUUAUCAUGAAUAUAGCUGUUACAGAGGAUGAGCAUAGUCUGGGAUUUUGUUUCUCAGCUUCAAGGCUCCUUUCUCCUGCAUCUAUGGUCCCCAUAGCAACCAAUUAGUGCACCUGGAGACACACAGCUGACUGAAAAGCUGCUUCUAACGGCCAUUUGAGGCACAUGAAGCCAGGCUCAGUAUACAGAGCACUGAGUGUUACAUUUAAAACCCUUCACCAGAGCACCUGAAAAAGAUUAAGCCCCUAUCUCCUCCCACAAACUUUGACCUAUAGAAACCAUUCAGGGCUCCAAGAAUUCGGCUCAUUGAGGACAUUAUGGGGUGUAUUUAGGAUUUUUAUUCAUUUACAUAUUUCAAUUUUUAAGGUCACUCAGUGAUGAUUCAUUAUUUAAUUUGUAAACUAAUUUAAACUCAUUCAUACCUUUCUGAUAUUUAAAAUCUUAAUGAUUCUUGAGGAUUUUUGAUUAUUUAACUUUUCCCAGUUUAAAUUAGUUUAAAUAUUUAUGCAUUAUUCCAUCCUUCAAACAAAAUCCCACCUCUAGAGCUACAACUACUGCUAAUGUCAAUUAAAGUACUUUCCCCUCUACUUCAACUGCUAUUGCUCCUAUUUCUACUUUCUCUACUACUGCUAUUGCUACUAUUUCUACUUUCUCUACUACUUUACUGAUACUUCUUUUAUUCUCAAACUACUUCUACUGCUUACAUGACUACUAGUAUCACGACUUGACUUCUCAUCAUACUACUUCUAGUACUACAACUUAAACUUAUGCCACUUCUCACCUUCCUGCCUUUUAAGGCAAUUUCCUUCUUCAUUCAAACUUGCUUGUACACACAGUUAAUAUGUGUCUGCUUCACCACCUAUCUCCACCCACAAACUUUGAGCUACAGAAACCAUUCUGGGCUUCAAAAAUUCAGCUCAUUGGAGAUAUUAUGGGGUGUUUUGAGGAUUGUGAUAAUAAAUUGUAUUAAUGUGUUCAGCAGAGUCUUGUGGCUCUCACAACCUCCUUGGCAUGAAUAUAGCUGUUACAGAGGAUGAGCAUAGUCUGGAAGUUUGUUUCUCAGCUUCAAGGCUCCUUUCUCCUGCAUCUACGGUCCCCAUAGCAACCAAUUAGUGCACCUGGAGACACACAGCUGACUGGAAAGCUGCUUCUAACAGACAUAUGAGACACAUGAAGCCAGGCUCAGUACACAGCAUAUUGGUGAUUCAUACUGCCACUGAAGUUUAACUUUGAUCAUGUGUGUGCAGUACUGUCUUUGUGUCUAUAAGAGCUACUCGCACACACACACCACUUCUAAUUGUAACAUCUCUUUUAGUAGUACUCCACUUUUACUACAUAUACUACUAACAUUUAUACCACCAGUACUUCUACCACUUCUAAAACUACUACGACCACUUAUUCGACUACAGCUACCACUUCCACUACUACUACCACCACUUCAACUACUACUACUAUGACUAGCUCUACAACUGCAACUUGUAUCCCUCUACAUCUCCUUCUAUUCUUUUUCUUUAAACAUAACUUUCUUUAUUUGAAGUAAUUACACAGACAGCAACAUGUCAGUACAAUUUGACAGAGAUCUCCACUCUAUCCUUUUCCCCAGUUUUUUAUCCCUCCCACAUCUCCUUCUAUUCUAAACCCACUAUAAGUACUAUGACAAGUACUAACGCUAAUAUGACUACUUCUAUCACUUCUACCACUAUUCAUUUUACUACUACUACUACUACUACCACUAAAACUUCUACAACUUCUUACUCAAAUCCUCCUAGGUUUUUUUUUAGGUCCUAUCAGUUGUAUUUUUGCUGUCAUUUUCACAUUCAUUAUGCUGGUAUGACAAUAAUUUUUUUGCUGUUAAUUUUUUAAUGAAUUUCUAUUUCCCACAAUGUGUGGAUUAAGUUAACCACUGUGUUAACCACCUUGUCGAGUGAAGUGUGAAAUUUCCGAGUGUCCCUGAACGCCUCAAACAUUUCUACCGGGACUCCGCCUUGGCUCGCGCUAUCCUGCUGCAUCUUACAGAAGGGUGAGUCAGAGCUGAGUCUCUGUCAACGUCUAAACGUUAAAAAAUGGGAUUUAACCUGUCAAAAUGGCACUGGUUUGAGUUAUAAUCGAUGAAGAGUUCAUUCAUGAUUGAAGUGGUCGAGAUGUUGACUUGAAAAAGCUUAUGCUAACAGUGUUAGCGUCGAGCUAGCGGAGUUAGCACCGAGCUAGCGGAGUUAGCGUCAAGCUAGCGGAGUUAGCGUCGAGCUAACGCUAAAGCUAACAUUCCGUCAUUUAUGGGGCUGAAUCAUUAGCCAGCUGAGAAAUGCACAAAAUAAUGUGAUGUGCAGUUUGUAGAGUUUACUGACAUUUGGACUGUAGGGGAUACUAAUAUUGUCAAGUAUUAACUUACUACUGAAGCUAGCGCUGUUGCUACAGGUAGUAGACAGACAGUUCAUCACUGUGACUGAGUCAUAGCUGGGGAAUUGGUCUGGGGACGUCAGCUGUUUAGCUCCUGGUCACUUUUUAUCAGCCAUUGUAGAUGUAUUAAAAUAUAGGCUGCAUUUAGCAAGCAUCCAGUUAUAACACAAAUGUGAGUGGUUUUUCUUUUUUUAUGUGUCAGAAUGACACUAGAUGGUCCUCUAUUAUUGAAGGUGUUAUUCAUGAUGGGGUUGAUAGAGAUAUUUACAUUGCAAAACAUAAAAUUAAUUCAGUAUUUAAUGUUUAACAAUACGAAGUUCCAAAUAAUAAAUAUAUUCCAGUUGAAUUUCCAUUUAGGGAUCUAUAAAGUUCUUAUCUUAAUAUUGAGUUAAUGGGUGGAUAGUUAGCUGCCUUGAAGUUGGUGAACCGACUCCUGGGCUGUCUCUGUCUCACUGGCUGCUGCUGUACCUCACAUUAUACUGUACCUAAUUUACCUUUGAUCACAAGCUGUUAAUUUGGAUAUUGGUGAUGUGCUAACACCACAGCAAAGAUAUUUUAUCUGAGGGAUAAAUACUUUAAUACAGUAUAUAUUAUGGGACAUUUUCAGCUGCAGCUAACAGCCAAGUGAUCUGUUGGAGCUGUUUAGUUUUCAAUUAGCCCAAGUACUGUAAUAAUGUUAGUUUUCUUUACAGGCCAGUUGUUUUUAGUGUGCUAUCUGUCAGAAAACACUAAUGUAUUGUUUCUUGUCUCAAACAAACAGAAGAUACAUCCACUCCAGUGCACUUGUUGGUAAGUAUAAGUGUUUUAAGCAAGACUGACAACAAACAAAAUAAGAAUAACUCGAUUAAUGUUGAGCUUAAUCCUGUUAAACAACGUGAUAUUCUAGAUAAUGUACAACAUAUGAUGCAUUUUUCAAAUACUGAGUUUAAAUUGAUAUGAAAUGUUUAUUUUUCUGUAACACUGUUGUAUAUCCUAUAUGAAAAUCAUAGAUGGGAUACAGUUUUUUCCUAGUAGAAAAUAAUGUGCUUACAAUAUUACAACAGUACUAAAUUAUUUUUUGUAAACAUUUUAAUUUGCUGGGAAAUGCUGAAUCUUGAUUUUGACAAUAAUAAAGUGGGAAAAUCAUUCAGGAAAAAUGUCUUUAAAUGAAGUGAGCUGUGAGGGAGGUUCUUUUGAGUGUGUUAAAAAUCUUUUUUCCUCCCUCUCCCCCUCCUCCUGCCUCAUCUUGUCCUUUGACCUCCUGCCCUAUCAACUCUGAAGUGUAAGUUCACACUUGUAUACUUAUUAAGCAAUCAAUUAAGUGUUGCAUUUUUGCUCUGCAGUUUAUAAUGACAUUUCACUGUUUUGUAUUUCACCUCAAUAACAUACAUAACAAAGUAAAGAGAGGGCCUUCGUGCAUUUUCUCUCCAUCUUAAACAUUUUUUACAGGCCAAGGGAGCUGCAGUAACAUCCUUUUACUAAUCAAGGGCUACCGAUUGUAGACUUUGAUAAGAAAUGAGAAAACUAAUGAUCCACACUGAAAAGCGGUGUGAUUACAGUAAACUAUGAGUUACUGAUUUUUUUUGCAACUAAAUUUAUUUACUUUUUGUCCCUGUCUUUUCUCUCCUGAACUCAACGCUAUGUCUACUGCUGGCCCUGUUCACUGUUGGCGACUCAGCUGUAAGUUCACAAAUAAAGUAACUUUAAAAUAUAUUUUUACUGUUACUUUUCACAACACAUUAUCUAAAAACCUGACCUAAAUAACACUUUAUUUUAACUAAUGCAGAAACAAAUGGAAAUAAUUUUGCUGGCUGAUCACUGUUGGAAUUACAAUGCAGUGAGAUGUGCUGGUUUUGUACAAUUAAAAUAAAAAUCUCUUGUCACUGUUUUUCCAUUUUCCUUCUUGCCAACUCUAUCCUGUCUCCAAGUGCAGACCGCUUUGUGGCGACUCGACGUAAGUUCACACAGGAAUGACAUUUUCAUGAAUAAUACAGUGUGCCUUUAUUCAACACAUUAUGGACCCCUCAUCAUGUACUAACUUGACGAUUUUUUCCCUUUGAUUAUGUAAUAUUCACAGUUGGACAUGAACAGCUUGAAUGUUAUAUGCAAUACACUUAUUUGCAUUUUAUUUCCAAUCAUUGGAAAGCAAUUUGUUACUAUUAAAUUGUGGAGUUGUAAUUUUUUUAAUGAUGAAUAUCCAAAUAGUUACUUAUCAUUGUGAUUCCUUACGUUGUGAUUACUUCGUUGGAAAACUUAAAACACAGUAAAGGAAAUUACAUUUCCUAAAAUACAUUAUUAUUUUAUUAGCAUAGUAAUCCAUUGUUAUUAUUGCUUAACAGGACAUGGUUAUGAACAUUAUAAAGGGAACUUUAGAUGAUUUCUAAGAGUCUAAAAUUUUUUUGUAAAAAAAAAUUCUUCUCUUUUUGUAAAAUACUUUGAGGUCCUAAAUUUAAAAAGCUGGCUAUGUGGUUGGAUUCAAGUUGGACUCAGUGUAGGAUGUGGUAGAGAGAUGUACGCUGAGAAGGUGGAGACUAUUUUAAAGAACAUGGAUUACCCACUUCAUAACACCUUGAUGGACCAAAGGGCCUAAGGUGGUGGACGGCUCCUCUCUCUUCGCUGCAGGACAAAAAGAUUCAGAAGGUCUUUUGUACCCACAGCCAUCAGACUUUACAAUUCUUUUAAAAAUAGUAGAUGACUUUUGGAGAUAUGACAAAUGAGACUACAAUCAAAUUUCCCUUCAGGGAAAUAAUAAAUAAAUAAUAAUAAUAAUAAAUAAUAAUUUCCCUUCAGGGAAAUAAUAAAGUUCUCCUUACCUUAAAUACAUUUUUAAUAAAAUACGAGUGUAUGAGCACUUUGGAUUUUUAGUUCUUAUUAAUUUGAUUGAUGGGUUAUCAAACAGGGCAAUUGCCAAUUCCAGGGUUUGACUCAACUUGGCUUUUGAUAGAUGUAUAGUUAAGGAUAGCCAUAUGGUGGAUUAAGUAAAAGCACAUAAUAAUGACAUUAGCUUUGGGUGGAUGUUGGUUCAUUUUGUUUCUCUUAUAAAAAAUGAUUCAUGUUUGUUUUCAUUGUGUCUUACAGGUAUCGUGUCCAGUCUCCCCACUCUCCCCUAUCUUUUUGGCCGCUCUGACUUUCCUGUCUCCUCCACCUCUCUGUCUUAUUGAAAAGCCACUCUAUCUUGUGUCCCCCUUUUCUCUAUCCCUCUAGCUAAAUUUUGGACGCUCUGACUUUCCUGUCUCCUCUACCGCUCUAUCUAAUUGAAAAGCCACUCUAUCUUGUGUCCCCCUUUUCUCUAUCCCUCUGACUAAGUUUGGUUACUCUGACUUUCCUGUCUCCUCUACCGCUCUAUCUGAUUGAUCAGCUUUUCAGAAACCAUUGUGACAAGCCUUUCAGAAACCAUUGUGACAAGCUUUUCAGAAACCAGUGUACCAGAAACCUCUGAGAAACCAGUGUACCAGAAACCUCUGAGAAACCAGUGUACCAGAAACCUCUGAGAAACCAGUGUACUAGAAACCUUUCAGAAACCAGUGUACCAGAAACCUCUGAGAAACCAGUGUACCAGAAACCUCUGAGAAACCAGUGUACCAGAAACCUCUGAGAAACCUAUUGAAGCAAGCUACCUUUUUUUGAGCAACCAUUGAAACAACCUACCUUUGAGAAACCUAUUGAAACAAGCUACCUUAUUUUGAGAAACCAAACUUUUGAAAAGCUGUACAUUUAAUACAACCACUGUUUUGAAAAAUCCCCAAUUUUGCAAAAGUCUGACUGUUGUUCUAGGUCCUCCUUUCCUGUCUGUGGAUCCAGAGUUUCACCGGAAGUGUCAUCAGCACAACCACAUCUGCAUCCCUGAUUUUGAAAGAAAAAAAAAAAGUUCCAUAUAGAAUAUUUGAGUUAGAUAUUAUUUCAAGCACAAAGCGCUAAGAUUUAAAAAUUGUUGUUGAUUUGUGUUUUUUCUGAAAACAUUUAUAUAGUCUUGUGUAGGAUUUCCUUAUAAAACAUUUGAUAAACUAUUGUGGUAUACACAUAGUUAUAAAUUAGAAUUUUGGAGACUAUAAGAGCUGUUAAAUAACGUCCUCUUGAAGAAAUAAAGCAUUUUUGUCUUUACUGGUGCUUAUCAGUAAUUUAAUUGUUGCAUAAACACAUUGUUG